UGUAUUGAUUUUAGUUAUAUAAGGUAAUAUGAUAAUUUUUAUUACACGUAUAUGCUAAGUUUUUCAAGUAUUUCUCUGUAUCUUUUUUCGUAAGUAAUAUCUAACGUGAAGAAAAUGUUCUCUAAAAUCAUUAAUAAUGCUGCUACUGGUUUUUAAAUAACCUACAAUAUUGAAAUUAUUGCUAGAAGUUUCUGAUACUACUCAUAGUCAAACUCACAAGCACAAUAAAGUGUAUAAUAUAAUAAACUAUCGCAUGGAUAGUGUUUCAUAAAUGAGUUUUGUAAUUACAUUUUCCCAGAUGAAAAUGCUUUUUUUCAUAGUUACAUUAUAAUGCUUCUUUUGAGUUGCAGAGAAAACUAUGACUGAUUGGUAGGAACAAAAUUAGAGGCCAUAAUACCUUUUAAAAAAACUAAAUAAUUAAAAUGAUGGCAGUAUGGGUUUGAAAAUUUAGAAGGGUAGAGAAACGCAAGAUGUCAGGUACCACUACUACUAAUAAUACCAUAUGUGGCUUGUGAGAUGAAAUAUGCGUGGUAAAGCAGGCAUCACCCUAAGGAGCUUCUUCUGCAGACACCUUGGAGUCAUCACUUUUUCCUCCUUAACUCCACACGUAAUCAUUUACUAAGAAUGUGUUGACUGUGCCUCCUGCUUUCAAUGUUUUUCAUUUCUUUUUCCACUGGCUCUUUACUCUGGUGCUGUUCCCAUGUUUCUAUUGAGAUUGCAGUAACUUAUUUUUUCAGAAAUUUUUUUAUUUUUGUGGAUUUAGAGGGUACAUAUACAGUUUUGUCACAUGGAUAUAUUGCGAAGUGGUGAAGUUUGAGCUUUUAUUGUACCAGCCACCCUAAUAGUAAACAUUGUACCCAGUGGACAAUUUUUCAUCCCUCAUCCCUCUCCCACCCUUCAAUUUUUUGAACUCUACAAUGUCUAUUAUUCUACUCUAUAUGUCUAUGUGUGCCUUUUGUUUAGUUUCCACUUAUACAUGGGAAUACGUGGUAUUUGACUUUAUGAGUUAUUUCACUUAAGAUGAUAGCCUCCAGUUCCAUUCAGGUUGCUGAAAAACAAUAAUUUUGUUCUUUUUAUGACUAAGUAGUAUUGUUAUAUAUAUAGUGUGUGUGUGUAUAUAUAUAUAUAUAUAUGAAUGAAUAUAUAUAUAUAUAUAAAAGCUUCCCAUUCCAUCUGUCUUAAACUAGAUAUAUGGGAAGUCUUCCUAAAGAUAUGUGUGGUGUUGUAUUUCAAUAUCAGUUUAUAGGUUGAUAAUAAUAGCUUAUAUACAUACACAACACUUUCAUCAUAGUAGACGUGAUGGCAAACCUUCUUAAGGUUUUAAGUAUAUUAAUCUUUUUAAUUCUCAGAACAACCCUACCAGGUAAGUACUAUUAUUAUAUCCUUGUUAGUAAUGAGAAAAUGGAGGCAUAUAAAGUUAAGUAACAUGACCACUAUUAGCAAGCUAGGAAACAGUGGAGUGAGGAUAGGAAGCCAUGCAUUCUGGCUUUAGAACCCAUAUGCUUAAUAAUCACAUGAGGCCUAAUUAUUGUUUAGCACAUAUUUGUUGAGCUGACAUGAAACUUGAAUAGCAAAUUCUGUGUAUGAAAAUGGAUUUGAAAGGUUAAAUAUAAGAUGGAAAAUAAUGGCACUGAUGUUUUAGAGUUAAAGGUUAAAACAUUUAUAAAAUAAAUGUUAUUGGUUAUCUAUUUAAGUCCUAUGGAAUCUUGAAAGUCUAAAGCCCUUUUUACAUCCCUGUGCAGUGUGGGAUUAGGGUAAAGAAAAACUUUGAAAAUAUAGAUGGAAAAGGCAUUUAUGGUACUAAUAAAAUGUAACAUGCUUAAGACAACUAAAAAAAUUAUUAAGAAAUGAAGAAUGAACUUUAUUUAAUGAAAUAAAAAUUCAAUUAAUUAGUUUGUAAAACUGAAAUCUUUGUUAUUUUGAAAGUUCUGUUAAUCAUAAAAAUACUAUGCUUAAAUCUUCCUUACUUUAGCAAACAUGAAAACUUUAUUUUUUUCUCUUUUCAAUCUUAAUCUAGUUCCUCUACCUCUGAAAACUAUCACUAAAGAAGGAGACUGUUGAUUUUUUCAAAAUUUUGGCCUGCCUAGUGUUAAUGGUUUUAUUUUGUCUUCCAAAAUGAUACGUUGAAGUCCUGACCCUCAAUACCUUAAAAUGUUACCAUAUUUGGAAAGAUGGUCUUGCAGAUGGAAUUAGUUCAGAUGAGAUCAUGCUGGAGUAGGAGGGACCCUUAUUCCAAUAUGACUGGUGUCAUUAUAUUAAUAGGAAGAACAUGACAGAGGGCAGAGGACCAUGUUAAGACACAGGGACACACAGGGGGACGCCAUGUGAGAACAGAGGCAGAGAUUAGAGUGGUGCAGCUGCCAGCCAAGAAACACCAAGCAUUGAUGGCUACCAGCAGAAGCUAGGAAGAGUCAAGGAAGAAUUCUUUCUACUCAGACUCUCUCUGGAGCAUUGCCUUGUUGAUACAAUGAUAUUGAGCUUCUGGCCUCCAGAAAUAUGGGAGAAUAAAUUUCUCCCAUAUUAAGCCACCUGGAUGUGACACUUUGUGAGGGCAGCCCUAGGAAAUGAAGACGCCUGGCAUUGUCUCACACUCCUGGAGACUCUUGUUUUCAUGCCAGCCAGUGCCAGAAUUUUCUCCAUCUGUGGGCUUUCUAUUUCUGCCCAUUACGAUUACACAGGAAAAGCCCCCUUUGAAACUGUAUAGUAGUUUUCAUCACACAGGAGGUUUGAGUCAUCUUCUCUCAUUAUGAUUCAAAAUAUAGCUGUCCUGAAGAGACCCUCCAUGAGACUCUACUCUGCUGUUAUCUUUCCUCCCUCCACCCAAAAGGGCAGGGAGAUGAGCCUUCUCCAGCUGGAAUACAAGCUAUAAAGCUGCAUGAGGGCAGCGACUCUCUCUCUCUCUUUCUCUCUCUCUGUCUCUCUCUCUCUCUUUAAUCAAAUCAAGUAAUGUAUAAAUGAUCUGUUAAAAAUAGAAGGUCCUUACUGAAUAUUGAGCUUCCUAAGAUGUCUAAAUCUGCACACUUCUCAGAACGGGCACAGAUAAUUAGCCACAAUGAUCCCAUCUACAUCCUGAGUCAUUUUGGAAGAGUAGACUCUCGACUCCACCCAACCUCAUCCCACUCUUAAACUUUACUCUGAGCUAAUAAGUCACCAGUGGCCUCCCCUUCUAUCCAACCGUAACUGAAUUAUUUCUAGCUCUCUUUGCCUUUGCUUCCCUUAUUCAUCACAGCCCCACAGAUAUAAUUGCAUUUCCUCUUUUUUCCAGAUAUUUUCCUAUCUCUUAGGAGUCCUUUUUUUUUCAUAGAUUGGGCUGGAGAAAAAUGUUUUGAGUAUUCUAUAUCUUGAACUCCAAAGUGAUUUUUUUUCUAUUUGAUUUAGGAGUUUGGCAAAACAUAGUACUAUUAUUAUCAUGGGCAUCUUGUCAAAAUUUCAGAAUGCACUAAUGUUCUUAUAUUGAAAUACAAAUAACCUAGUCAUAUUUUUUCUACUCCUACCUUCUUUUUAUAUCUGGUAGAACCUCCUAUAACUGAAUAAUAUUAUCAAUUAUCCUUGGGUUUUUAGGCUUAUUCAUCUGUUUAUUUUUAAUUUGGUGAGAAAGCAUCUACCAUGUUGUUUUCUGUCUGUAGGUAAUAUAUCUGUUGAAUUAUAGUGAAACUGUGGAUAUAAAAUUUAAAUGUAUUAUGUUUAAGAGUGUAAUUUGUCUUUCAGAAGAAAUCUUCACUGUAGACAAUGUUUUGGAGGUUCAAUCCCUCCUUUACUUAGAAAAAUUCAAAUCAGAUUAUUCUUAGCCCAGAAGCAAAAGAGAUCAUUCUCAAAUGAUUUUUAAAUAUAAUAAAAUUAUGUGAUUGAGAUUUUAUAAUUUUUGCACAUCUAUGUUUUUCUAAUUUUAUAAUGAAAAUGCUAUAAUUUCAUAAAGCAGUAUUUAUAUGGUUCUAUUUUUGAUUUAGCAGGCAAAAUCAUUAAAUAUCACUGAAAAUUCUAAAAUGUAAAUCAAUUCUUUUUCUAAAUGAUAUAAUACUUUAAAAAUAAAUUUUCAAUAGGCAGUGAUUGAUUGAUUGAGGAAAUUUCCUGUUGAAUAAAUAUAUGUUCAGCAUGAAUCUGUUGACACAAUUAGCUUUUAUUAACCACUAGUGGAGUAAUUUCUGCAAAUAAAUACAGUGACAUAUGUCUUCCAGGUUGCUAUAUUUAUAGACUUAAAGAAUGAGAGAUAAGAAGAUGAGAAAUAAAAAAUUUUGUUUAUUCUUGAUAUAAAAACAACAUUAAUCAUUAAAGACUUAUGUAAUUAUUCUUCAUUAUAUCUAAAAAAUGGAUGUGAGGAAAAGGUUGUAGGAAAGAUUAACAGAGGCCCAAAGCAGCUGAAUUCUAAACAUGGGCCUCCCAAUUAUUUCUAAAAUAAUGGUGGAUAAGUUCAAUUACUAUAAAAAUCUGAAUAUUAAUUUAAAAUUAAACUAAGAAAAAAUAUCAAGCUGAUUAUACUGAGAUUUUCUUGAAGACAGAGGUCUUUAUCCUUGUACCUUUACCACUUUCAUUAAAAGGACCCAGGAAGCUUUGCAGAGAGACUUUUAGCAACAGAUGUGUGAGCAGACUCUGAGUAACAGCCCAUUACAUAUAUCUCAUCUGCAAAAUUAUGUCAUACAAUCGAACUUAAAAGGAAUUAAUAUAUUGAGUCAUAGGAAUAUCGGAGUACUUGAAGUUUAAAAUUGUAUUUUCCAUCAUUUUAGUGAUGAAGAGAACCAAACUCAUCCUACCUAUCUGUGGUAGCUGCCCCACUCUCAUAAUAAAGGAUUUAAUCCACUUAUAAGGCCAGAACCCUCAUAAUAUAGAUUGGAUGUUUUCCCUUCCAAAACCUCAUGUUGAAAUGUAACCCCCAACAUUGGAGGUGGGACCUCAUGGGAGGAGUUUGGGUCUUGAGGGUGGAUCCCUCAUAAAUGGCUUGGCGCACUCCCUGUGGUAAUGAGUGAGCUCUCACUCUAUUAGUUCAUGUGAGAGCUGUGUUUAGAAAAAGGCUGGCCCCUCUUCCUCUCUUUCUUGCCCCCUCUCUUGCCAUGUGACACACCUGCUCCCCCUUUGGCUUCUGCCAUAAGUAAAAGCUUCCUGAGGCCUCACCAGAGCUGAGCAGAUGCUGGUACCAUGCUGGUACAACCUGAAGAACCAUGAACUAAAUAAAGCCCCUUUCCUUUUAAAUUAUCUAGUCUCAGGCAUUCCUUUAUAGCAAUAGAAAAUGGAACAACAUACCUCAUGACCUAAUCACCUCUUAAAGUCCCACCUUUCAUCACUGUCGCGUUGUGAAUUGAGUUUCCAACACAUGAACUUUGGGAGACACAUUCAAGCCACAGCACAGAUGAAAUUAUCUUGGAGCCCAAGUACUUUGUGAAUAUCUACACUUUAAGUGUUCGGUGGCUUUUCAUGAAAUUAAUUUCUUGGGUAUCACUAAUGGAAUAAAUUGAUUCUAUCCAAGGAAGACUAGAGUCACAAGUUUGUGAUCAUUAGCUGCAAACUCUCAAUAAAGGAGUAAUAUUAAAUAAAAAAAUUAUUCAUAAUAGCAAGAACAUUAACAUCAAAUAAUAUUUUAAUGGCUGCCUAGAAUGUCAAUAUUAUUUAUAUGAUUAUUUAUUUAUAUGCAUUAUUUCAUGUACUUUACAGAAGGCCCUGAUAUAUUGAUUAUCAUUAUCUUUAAAGAUGAAGAAAUUGAACAUUAAAGUGGUUAUGUGAUGUUGCCAAUAUCACCCACCUAGUAAGAGAUCAAGCUGAAGUUAAGACUCAUAUACAUCAGACUUUGGAGCCCACAUACUUUUCACUUUAUUACCCUAAGAACUCACAAAUUAGUUUAUGAUUAGUAAAGGACAUGUUUAUUGAAAACUCAGAAAAAUAAUUUCUCUGACAGUAUCAAGUUUUACAAAACACUGAUCAUUUGUUGGUGCUACUGCAGAUACUGAAGUAUCACUUUUAAUGGUAAAAAGUGCAAUCACUUUUGCACCAACCUAAUACUAAAUGCAAAUUGUUUUGGGCACUCAGAAGGUGAGAUUGCUCUUGAAUGGGCAUUUCUUUCAUGUGGCUGAUUAAGAUGACUCUCUGUUAAGUGAGGUUAGAAUUUAUGAUAGUUCCGGGAUUUCAUUCCAAUGGAUUUUAAACAACUUAUUCUUUCAAUGUGAAGCAUGCUUGUGUGGAACCAGUACACUGACACAACAUACCUCUGGCAGAAAUCAGUGUACAUCUUUGGAACUGCUUUUCUUGAACUGAUUAGCAAAUCUGCAUGGCCCGUGUGCACUGACCACGUGUGAAACACUCUCUGCCCCUGCGUUAUGAACAGGAUCAUAUUAGAAGCUGAUAAUUGGAUUUCUCUACUGUACAAUGAUGGGCUACUACAAAUAGUAAUAUUAGAAAUCUUAAAUGUUAUCUGUACAUACUAUUUUUAUUAGCCAGUAGUUCUUACAAGCAGAUUUAUAGUUCAAGAGUUUUUAAGAGUCCCAUUUGAAAAAAAAAAAAAUUCCCUGCAGUAGCAGCAAACAAGAUCUUUAACAGAUGUUCUUAUGGUUAGAACUCAACUUCGCAUAAAUCACUGUAAGAUCCAAAGGAAAAGAACACUAAGUUUGAACUAAGAUACCUUCUCAGAACUGAUAUUAGUGGGGCAAUUUUAGUCUAUUUAACCCCAAACCCCCAACAUCAGCAUUUCUACUUCUAACAAAUUCCCCUUUUUUGCAUCACCAUAGGCACCAAUUCGAAUUAAAAAAUGAAUGUGGCAACAGCAGAUAUGAUCCAAUCAGAUCCACUUUGCGUAAUACAAUGAGUUAUGAUUUUAAAUAAUUUCUAGCAUUUUAAUUAUGUGAAAAUUUUCAUCCUCAGCACCAUGGGAGGUGCCUCAAAUAGAAUCUGUAAGUAAAGAUUUGGAUUCAAAUCCAGGCUUUACUGUUUACUAGCUGUGUGAGUUGGGAAAUCCAUGCUUUCAUCUCAGUCCAAGCUGCUUGGUAUGUAAAACUAAUUUAAAAAUAGAUUCUUCCAUAUGAUUAUUAUGAGAUACAAGUAUAGUCACAUAGGUAAAGUAUUUAGCAAAGUGAAUAUGCACAUGAACAUUAUUAAUAAUGGUAUAUCUAGCAUUGUUAGGAAAUUUUUUUAAAAAAUUAAAUAAACAAACAUCAAUUGUUUUCUCAAUGUUUCUUUGGAGCAUUAGCCAUAAGAAGCAGCAAAAUGAAUUUCAACAUUUCUGCUCUUGUUUCUUUUAAUUUAGCCAUAUGGACAUCUUUCUGUACCUAAAUUUCAGCAGCUAUGGAUGAUGACAGCCAAUCUCUUUGAGGUUCCCCCAAGGACACUGACAAUGGAUUUCAAAUGUGCUAUGCCACAUAGAUUUCAAAUUAUGCCAUCCUAAAUGCCUUCAUGUUUGUUGGAAACUCACAAAGUUUAAUGCAGACAUUUUAAAGAUCAUGUAUUCUAUUCCAAUUAAAUGAAAACACUAUUAACUGGUUUUAACCAAAGUUCAACAUAUCAGUAUUGUUAGAACCAGGUCUAGAUUUUAGAGAGGUAGUCUAGCAUGGACUCUAGAGCUGACAGCUUUUAUUAAAAUCCUGACUAUUCCCCUCAUUUAGUAUAAGAUCUUGGACAAGUUUGUCAACCUCUCUGUGCUUAUAUUCCCUUAUGUAAUGCCUCAAAAGAGUGUCCAUGGUUAAAUGAGUAGAUCUUCUAUUACAUGUAUACCACAAAAGUGUCAGGUGCAAUGCAAGCACUAUGUGCAUGUUGGCUGUUAUUUUCGAGCUUAAAUUAAGUAUUCUUUUCAUCGCCUCUCCUAUGGAUAUCCUUAAUGGAAUCCUCAGUCAGACAUAGAAUAAAUUAACAUAUGUAACUGUUCUAGUCACCCUGCUAUACCAUUUCUGCAUGUAAUUCCAUUGAAUAUUAGCAAAGCACUUCAGAGAUACUAAUGCCCACAUUUUGCUAGUGUAGAUGUAGAAGGUUAGAGACAGGAGGAGAACCGAGAUGCUUUCAGUUGCUAAGUUUAUUCUAGUUUUGGUGACAGAAUUUAAGUCUUGCUGUGUAGGAGAUAUUAAACAUCACUGUUUCUACAGUGUUUCAGUCUUUCAGCUAUUAAUCCUUCUGUUACCAGAGUCAAGGACUCACAAACAAUAUGCUGGCAUUUUAUCUUAAAUUUAUUUGAUGCUACAGACAUUUGAGCAAUAUCCAUGAAUUAAACUACUUUUGCAGGUGUUAUACUGUUGUCAGCCAGAAGUUUCCACCAAGCUUUGUGUGAGCACAGGUGAGCACAGACACUUUCCUCACCCUUAAUUUAGCUGCAUAUUUUUUUACUUGAGUAAAACCUUAAAAAGCAGAAGCUUUUCUUGCAAUGUGAAAUGUUUGCCAUCAAGACAUUACUCUAGCUAGUAGAUUUCUUCUCUAAGCCUCUGCAGUUUAUCCCAGUAUUCAAAAAACUGAAGAAAUAGGUUAUGGAAUAUUAUGAGCUAAGGAAUCACUUUAAAAUGUUGCUUUCAGUUACAGCUUCAUCAUAAAGUUUGAUAAUAAUUGGCUAUUAGCCAAAACACUUUUUAAAACAUUCUAAUGUAGAGUAGAAAUAUAGGUAGGUGUUAAUGGUGUUGGAAUGAAUUCCUAAACCAUAUAAAGAAGCUCCACAGGUAAGAUGUGUUGUCAGAACACAUUUCAUGUAGAGUGAAAUGCAUUCUGGAAAAUAUCUGCUUGUUCAUAGCUUCAUUUGUCAUGAUAAUAUUGCCACACUAUUUUCUCAUCCAUUAUUGUGGCUAUUUUCACAGUGAAGCUGAAGGAACUGAUUAAAUUGACCUCUUUUAAGUCUGACCUUAAUCUAUUUGAGAAUAUAUAAAAUCUAUUUAACUCAACUCAAAUAAAACCUAUACAGUGAUUAACAGAUUGUUUAUAGUUACUGUUUCCAACAGAAAUUAUGAGACACCAAGUUUAACAAGAAUGUCUCUGUGUAUGUCAAUGAAAAUCAAUCAGUAAUGAUUAAUAUACUUACGUAAACUCCUCUGAGGGACAAGCACUUGGUUCCAAUAUCACAUCAGUUCUUACUUCAUGUGGAGAAUUUUAGAAUCCGUAGUUGAGGUAUUUUGUUUUCCUCUUCUGAUAGUUUCAUAAUAGUCAUCAUUUAACAAAUAUAAAUACUGUGCUACGUUUUGGAAUUUAACAUAAUCAAAUUCUAUGUUCCCUGCUCUUCCGAAGCUUACAUUCUAGUGGGGGAGACAGAUGUUGAAUAUAAAAGACACAAAUGAAUUUUAAACAAAAACUAUCAUAUAUGUUUUAUAAGUUUCAUAAAUGUAUUUGAUAAAUCACUUUCACAGGAAAAGAGAGAACUGGCAUCGUCUCAGUGGCCAGGGAAGGUUUAUUUGAACCUGGAAGAAAGGUAGCAAGAAAGAGCAACAUUUUGCUUUCUAUAAAACUAGAUACAGGAAGGGGAACAUCACACACCAGGGCCUGUAGUGGGGUGGGGUGAGGGGGAGGGAUGGCAUUAGGAGAUAUACCUAAUGGAAAUGACGAGUUAAUGGGUGCAGCACACCAACAUGGCACAUGUAUACAUAUGUAACAAACCUGCACGUUGUGCACAUGUACCCUAGAACUUAAAGUAUAAUAAAAAAAGACACCAAUUUGAAAAGAGAAAAAAAAAUAGAUGAGUAAGAAAACUGACUACAUUAUUCUUCACUUUCUACUGACUACCAGGCAGAAAUUGAGAGAGGGACACAGAGAGACAAGGUCAGUCUUAACUGUUGGCAAAAUGAGAUACUACUUGGAGCACUGCUCAGCAAACUUUAUCAGUAAUUUGCAGCCAUGUGCCCAACUGUUAUCUGUUAACACCCAAAUUCAUAUACAUACUUUGAAAAUAGCUCACUAAAGCAUUAUCCUUAUAUUAUUCUGAUACUUAGUAUGGGUAGGUCAUAAGAUCAUGUACUGUUUCUCCAAAUGAGGGAGGGUUGAUUAACAUAUGAUGGAGAUGAGAUUCUCAGAUUCUUUCCCUUCAAAAGUGUUUACAUGAGAAGCAUAGUAAAAACACCAAGGAUUAUGGCAGAACCUCCGUUAUUAUUGGAUCACACUUGGCUCAGACAGAUAUGUGACACACAAGAAGAAUAUAGUAAAGAAGGAAAUAUUCCAUUUAUUCAUUUCUGGGAAGUUAUUUUGCUUGUUUCUCUUAACUUUUCCACAUAUAGACUGUUUAUGUUUCUGAAAAAUGUGAAUCUUUUCUAAUCUUAGCAAUUUAUGAUUUCCUUCAAGAGAUGUCAAGUACAAAUAUUAGUGCUACUAUUAUCAUGAACACUUCUAGUACUACCGUCAGUAAUGGUAUUAACAAAACGGGCACCGUUUAACUAAAAUCUGUGCUGGUUUCUGUGCUGUUGAAGAAUGUCAGGGCUCUUGGCUCUUUCACAAUAUAGGGAAAACUUUAUGUUAGCAAUGUUUUUCUUAUAGAAAAUCAUCUAGCUGUAAGUAAAGAUCUUCUUCAGUUGCUUUCUUUAAACAACUACUCUUGGGAAAUGAAUGCAAUAUGAGGACAUAGCAGAUACAGAGAAAAAUAUUGUAUAUAAAUUGUUUCUCAUCAUGUACACCUGAAUGAAACGAGCUAUGUUAAAUUGCUUAUGUAAAGUAGGAAGGCUGUUUUUAUUCAUGAAUAAAUGGCAUUUAUAACCUUGCUUUUCUAAAGUAAUAGAUGAAUUCGCUGUUGGUUCAUGCACCAAAUCAAUUUUCGAUGGAUGAAAUGAACUGGUAUUGCACUAUUUAUAAUGGUGUGUUUGCUGUUCAAUUCAAACAAAAACAAUAGAAUAUUAUGUUCACUGUGAAUAACUUUCGUAAUUUUUUUUUUUUUACCAUAGCUCACUUAGUUAACAAAAAACUCUUGACUUUAUGGCCAGAAUACCAGUAAGAUUAUGACUCACCCGAAGGUAUCAUGUCAGAAUUACAUUAAUUAAUAAUGUUUUAUAAUUAUUUAGUGGUCCAAUAAAAUAUUAAUGGUUUUAUAUAAUUAUUGAUUUGAUAUUCUCAGGAAUUCAGAGGCAAGCUUAGGGUUAACUUUCUUACAAGAAGUUGUACUUUUUCUUAUACUUCUAGGGCACAUGUACCCUAGAACUUAAUAUAUAAUAAAAAUAAAUAAAUAAAUAAAAAAGAAGUUGUACUUUUAACAUUUGUGAAAUGUCAUAUUAUCAUAGGAAAAAAAUGACAUUCAAAAUAGGAACCUACUUUAUUUUACGCACAUACACUCUGAGAAUCUUGAGUAGGUCUCAUCAGUCAUAGAUUAUUAGAACAGGAGUUUUCAAAGACUGACCACACAUGACUUACCUUUCUUGCUUUCCUUUCUCUCUCUCUCUCUCUCUCUCCCCUUCCUUCCCUUCCUUCGCUUCCCUUCCUUCCCUCCCUCCCUUCCUUCCUUCCUUCCUUCCUUCCUUCCUUCCUUCCUCUCUCUUUCUUUCAUUCUUUCUUUCUGUCUUCUUUCUUUUUGACAGAGCCUCACUCUGUUGCCCAGCCUGGAGUGCAGUGGUAUGAUCUCGGCUUACUGCAACCUCUGCCUCCUGGGUUCAAGCCAUUCUCCUGCUUCAGGCUCCUGAGUAGAGUAGCUGAGAUUCCAGGCAUGCACCACCGUGACUGGAUAAUUUUUGUAUUUUUAGUAGAGACGGAAUUUUGCCAUGCUGGCCAGGCUGAUCUUGAACUCCUGACCUCAGGUGAUCCGCCCAUCUCGGCCUUCCAAAGUGCUGGGAUUACAGGCGUGAGCCACCACGCCUGGAGGCUUUUCUUCUUUUAAUGUUAAUCUUUAUUGCUGUCAGAUCACAGGUUGUGAGUGGUAGGGCAAGGUUCAAACUUAUGUUUGCAGAAUUCAGUAAUACUUACUUACUCUACCAUAUAAUCUGCUUAUCCUGAUAUUAGGCACAUGACUGUUCUUUAAUAAACAUAACUCAGUUACUUCUGUUGGUUUCUAUAUGGGCUACAGUACUGUAUUUUUAUACAGACUUUCAUGUACUUUUAAAUUCUCAUUUGAGAUACUUAGUUUAAUCAAUGAAUGGUUUAAUGUCUCUUUCAUCUCUAAGAUUCCAAGAUAAUAAGGACCACUCUACCUUAAAGACCUUGCCACAUAUCAGUCAUAUAGAAAGUACUCCUUAUAUAUUUGUUGGCCAUCUAAGAAUCUAUUAUUCAGUAAUGCAAUUGUAAAAGCAAUGCCAGAAGAAAAUUUACCAAGCUCAGAUUCUACCCUUCUUUGAACCUCUCAAAUUAUCUUGUUCAUAUGAACCCCUGAAAAACUUCUAUAACAAUUCUCCUAAGCUGUGUAAGGUAUUGUUGUAUAAGAGUUCCUUCUACAAAUACAGAACAAUACUUGCCUGCAAUAUAAGUACUUACUGUCCAAUAUUUUGUCUUAUUUUUAUCCCCUAUAGUAUCUACUAGAUUGAUAGCCACAUAAUAAAUAAUUAAAAUUUUUUUGAGGAGUCUAAUUGAAGGGAGCGUAGCAGCAAUAGAUGAGAUGGGCCAAGAAUAAGAUGGAACAUUUUGUUAUUAGACAAGAUUUGUAUUCUAAGGAUGAAAGAGAGGCAAUGAAAUUAUUGGGUCUCUAAAAGAGGAAAAUGGUGGUUAUACUACUAAGGGUCAUGCAUACCAUUUAAUGAGGACAGCAAUUUCACAAUCAAUCGAAUAGAGUCCAUAUGGUAGAAUUAUUUUUCCAGUAGUAGCAAUUUGGGAGAUUACUAUCUUUGGUAUAUUGGCUAACAUUUACCUUUCCUAGUUCAAUUUUUAGGUUCAACAUAAUAAAGAAAUAUUAUUGAGUAGUAAGGAGGGGGGAGGAAAAUAAUUGUCUAACUGUACAUAGCAAAGCAUCUGUGUGAUUCAUUUCCAAAUUCUUUGUAAUCAGGGAAAAUAAUUACAGUGCUCUCUCCUAAAAUUGGUACAGGAAUGAUUAUUAAGCAGAUGUACAGCUAUUUGUCACUGAGGUUGGACAAUUUCAUUUAUAAGCUAAGUGUUUAUGUAACAGUUCUGGAUCAAACCUACACCAUCUGUGUUGGUUAAAAAAGCUUAUUUGGGACAUGUGCUGCCUACAGUACUGAAACAAUUCUUUUGUUUCAUUAACAAUUGAGUAUGUUGUUCUGUGUGAUUGGAUGCUGGCAUUUUACUCUUCAUUUACCCUGGAGAAAAACUCAUCUGAAUAGUUAUUCUUUUUAUCCACCUAUAAUUCACUGAAAGCCAUACUUCGCUCUGUGAUGAAUUAUUUAAAACAUUCAUGCCAUGAAUACCAAGGUAUGUGUCUUAACAGAAUUCCAGAGCUAGAGAGUACCUUUGAGGCAGACAGUCUCUAAAAUGUGCCUAAGUCUACAGCCAAAUAGACUCUCUGAAUUCAGAUUUUUACUUGACUAUUUAGUUAGUAUCUAUGUAACGUGAAGAUAUUAUUUAAAUUCUCUAUUCCUCAAUGUAUUUUCUUUUAAAUUAGUCAUGAUACUAGUAUUUACCCCAUACAGUUGACAUGAAGGUUAAACAUGAAUGCAUGGAAAGCCUGCAUUACCUGCAAAAACACUGCAUGCCCUACUGUAAGCCACACAAAAACACUAGUUGUUGUUUUGUAACUCAACUUCCUCAUUUUACAGAUGAAGAAAAAAUGGCUCUAAUGCUCUGAAAGGCAUUGAUGACUAAUGUGGAAAGAAAAAAUUUAGAGUCAGUCAAACAUGAAUGUUGAUUCAGCUCCUUUCUUUAUUUUCUCUGUGGCUAUUAGGCUCUUGGACCUCAAAUUUAACCAAACGUAAAUAAGUGAAACAAGAUCAUAUUCUCAGAAGGUGAUUUGUGGAUUGUGUCAGAAAAAUAUUUUGGGUUCUCUGUAUUUUUAUUUUUCUUGAUAUUUUUCAGUCUUGAAUAGGAUUUUUCUAUGACUCAAGGAGAGAGAUUUCAGUUUUUAUUUCCAGAUGGUUUUAUUUGUUGUUAUGAAUAUUUGCAGAGGGAUAGAAAGGUGCAUUUUUUGAAUUUUUGGCAUUUAUUGAUUUUUUUCUUUGUGACCUAAAAUAUGACCAAUUUUUAAAAAUAAUCCAUGGAUACUUAAAAGCACAUUGUGUUCUCUUUCAAGAUACAGACUUUGGUACACAUAAUUUGAAGUUUAUUAGUUAUGUUAUUUAAGUCUUCUAAGUCCUUACUUAUUUUUUCCUUUUUACUUUUCACAGAUAAACAGACUAAUGUAUUUAUCUGUUUCUCCCUACGUGCUCUCUCUGCUUUAUGGUUGUUGAUGCUGUAGCAUGAUGGACAUAUAUAUUCAUUUGUGCAAUGUGAUUUGUAACAAUAAAAAUACCCUUCUUCAAUUGUCUGAUGUUUUGUGAUCUAAAUUAUUCUUUACCUAUAAAAAUUGAUUUCAACCCUGGAUUGCCACCACAUCCGGCUAACUUUUUGUAUUUUUAGUAGAGACAGGGUUUCACCACGUUAGCCAGGUUGGUCUUGAUCUCCUGACCUCCUGAUCUGCCCACCUCGGCCUCCCAAAGUGUUGGGAUUACAGGCAUGAGCCACCGUGCCUGGGAGCCUGUUUUCAUAUUUUCUUUCAUUUUUUAUGGAACUUUCACAGCUCAGCUUUUAGAUCUCUCUCAACUGUUUUGCCAUAUCUUCCCUGAGCUCUUGCCUGGCAUUCUUGAUUAAUUGAAGCAAAUACUCUUUUUAAUUCAUGGUGAAAAUAUAUUGUCACAAUAUUUAUCUGCUCCCCAGCAACAUCUUUUCUGUGGGGAAUUUUGCAUUUUCCGUGUAUUUUUCCCUAUUUUUUACUCCUUUGAAAGCAGUCAUUUUACAUAUCCUAUUCAAAUGUUUUAAUUAGUCAUUAUUGAAGGAACAAUAUUUUCAUGAAUAAACUAUUGUUAAGGUAGAAGUCAAAGCUAUGUUCAAGACUAAAGUUUUUCUACUAUUAAUGAGUUUCUUGUAUGUAAGUUCAAGUUUUCCUUACUUCUCUCCAACCAAUAAGCUGAGCGACUUCAUGGGAUGUUUUUUUCUUUUUUGCUGAUUUUCUGCAAAUAACAAACUGGUUAACUGGUUUAUGGAAAUAUUACUCGCUUAUUAAUUAUUUAUUUUGCUGGUUUCCUCUGCUUCUCAAACCUAAACUAUGUUUUGGACUCUCCUGUCACUAGUUAGUAUAUUUUAUUUUUGUUCCCACUGUUGCAAAACGAGGAUUCAGAGUUUUCUUCUCUUGUGCCCCUCACCUUGAAGGGGUUCAUUUUACUUCCUUUUUCUAAUGUACUUGGUGCUUAGUUCACACUCUCUGGUGUAUUAGCUUCGUCUUACUCCUUUUCUUCCUACACCUUGACCCCUACUGCUUCACAUCAUAUUUAUGGGGUGGAGGUGAUGUAUGUUUCCCAGUUGUAAAUGACCUGGCUUUUUCCCCCCUUUCCCCUUUUUUUUCUUGCUUUUUUGAAUGACUUCCUAGAUAUCCUUGUUUUAUGCUGAAGUGUUUAAGCUUAUAUAUUCACUGUUGUACUUGUUAGCAAAACAACUUGUUUAGUGAAGGAAAGUAAUCACUAACUUCUUAAUGAGGUUUAUCUUAAAAAUAAUGAGUUUUUUUGUUUUAAAAAAACACCAGUAUUGAUGUCAAGAAAGAUGAAUAAGAGAAUCAGAGUGCUUAAAUAUAAAAGUUACUAUUCUUGAAUUACAAAAAUUUACCUAAUGAAAAAAUUCGAAAAUAUCCGGGAAAUCCAAUUAAUAUUGUUCAGGUUUUGAAUAGCUUAUUUCUGUCUAAUUAAAAUUUCUGCCAUAUUAUUUCCUGAUUUCAAGGAAUCUUUAUAUCUUCUAGCUAGAGUGUUAUUUACAAUGGAUUAUUGAGUUUCACCAGGAUUUUUUAUCUCAUUAUGACUCUAUCUAGUACUCUAUACUCCUUAUAUGCCCUAAAGUUUCCUUUUAGGAACAAUUAUUAUGGUGAGAUUGCUUGACAUAAAUACAUCAGGGCAAGCUCAAAGCUUAUCCCACCCAUUAAUUAGUGACCAGAACACUUAUCAUAAAUUUUUACACUCACCAGUUGACAUAAUAUCAAUGAGGCACCAGAGACAAUGUAAAAAUGUUUUUUCUCGACAUCAUUUUCUUUUUUUCAUUUCUGUGAGCCCUUUAAUAAGUAGUAUUAAUGUUCAUAAGUGUCAGCUGGACUUCUAUGCAAUGAGAUUGUAAUAAGAUAAUUCAUGGUAAUUCAAUAAAGUUACAAUGAACUUCUCAAAUUAAUCUAGAAAAAUGUUUCAAAAAUAUAAUCCAAUGUCUAAUAUUACAUAUAUUUUUUUCUGAUCUGAAGAGGAAUUUUUGAAGUAACUAUUUGUAAUAAAAUUUACCAAUCCAAACAUAGCAACAUUAUUUUAAUUUUUUAAAAAUAUUUCAACUUUCAGAUACAGAGGGUACAUAUGCAGGUUUGUUACAUGGGAAUAUUCUGUGAUGAUGAGGAUUGGGGUAUGGAUCCCAUCACCCAGGUACUGAGCAUAAUACCUGAUGGGUACUUUUUCAACCCAUUCACCCCCUCCUUCCACCUUCUAGCAGAUUGCAGUGUCUGUUAUUCUUGUGUUUAUAUUCACGUGUGUUCAGUAUUUAGCUAUCACCUAUAAGUGAGAACAUGUAGUAUUUGGUUUUCUGUUCCUACAUUAAUUUGUUUAGGAUUAUGGCCUCCAGCUCUAUCCAUGUUGCUGCAAAGGACAUGAUUUCAUUGUUUUUUAUGGCUGUGUAAUAUUCCCUGGUGUGUAUGUACCACAAUUUCUUUAUCCAGUCUACCAUUGGUGGGCAGCUGGGUUGAUUCCAUGUCCUUGCUAUUGUGGGUAGCACAACAGUGAACACAUGAGCACAUGUGUCAUUUUGGUAGAGUGAUUUAUUUUCCUUUGAGUAUAUGCCAGUCAUGGGAUUGCUGGGUCAAAUGGUAGCUCUGCUUUAAGUUCUUUGAGAAAUCUUCAGACUACUUUCCACAGCGAUUGGACCAAUUUACAUCCCCACCAGCAGUGUAUAAGCAUUCCCUUUUCUUGGCAGCCUCACCAGCAUCUGUUGUUUUCUGACUUUUUAACAAUAGCCAUUCUGACUGGUCUGCGGUGUUAUCUCAUUGUGGUUUGGAUUUGCAUUUCUCUGAUAAUUAGUGAUGCUGAGCAUUUUUUUUUCACAUGUUUGUUGGCCACACAUAUGUCUUCUACUGAGAGGCAAACACAGAAACAUUUUAAAGUUAAGAUUGUGAUGUCUUUCUGGGCCCCAUACUCCAUUGCAGCAACAGAUUCUGAUUUUUCUCCCUCAUAAGCUUAGGUAUUCAAUUAAACUAAAUGGUUUAUCACAAAUAACAGUGUCUUAGAGCAUCAAAAUAAUUUUAUUUUCUAUUUAUUAUUAUUAUUUGACAUGGAGUCUUGCUUUGUCACCCAGGCUGGAGUGCAAUGGCAUGAUCUCAGCUCACUGCAACCUCCGCUUCCUGGAUUCAAGCAAUUCUCCUGUCUCAGCCUCCCAAAUAGCUGGGAUGACAGGCGCGUGCCACCACGCCCAGCUAAUUUUUGUAUUUUUAGUAGAGACGAGGUUUCACCAUGUCUCUGACCUCUGAUCUCAGGUGAUCCACCCUCCUCGGCCUCCCAAAGUGCUGGGAUUACAGGCGUGAGCCACUGCACCCGGCCUGCAUCAAAAUAAUUUUAAAGGGGAAAAAUAGCAUUGUCAGUAUUUGGUAACAAGGAAACAGGAGUGAAUAAGGUCAAACUCUUUGCUUUCAAGUGUAGAGUGCAAUUACCUUUAAAACAAACAUUAAUUUGAGAGGAGUGUCAAUAGAGACCAGUUUGCUUUUAUUUUUUCCGCUUUUGAUUUUGGAUGGCUUCUUAGGAGUCCUUAUUUUAUGCUGAAAUGUAUAAGCUUAUAUAUUCACGGUUGGACCUGAUAGCAUAACGCUUAUUUAGUGAAAGAAAAGUAUUCAAUGACUUCUUAAUGAGGCAUACCUGUACAAUAAUGUAUUUUUUCUUUGUUUAAAAAAACCACCUGGAUUACUAUCAAGAAACAUGACAUUGUAAUUAGUGCAAGAGCUUUGCUUCAAAACAUGUUCCUUAAAGCAAGAAAAGAUUUAAAAUUUAUCAACACAUUUAUUUAAGGCAUUGCAUUCAUGACUCCUAUUAAACCCAGUUCAAAUGAGAAAUAUAUAAAUAAAAAUAGAAUUCCUAUAUUCUAUGGAAUUAGAAACUACAUUCUCCUUACUUUUGAGGGAAUACAGUAUCAUGUUCAAAUGAUCCCUACAUUUAGAUCUACUAUUGGAUAUUCAUUAUUAUUAAGCAUUAAUACCUGCCUUGUAUUUACAGUUAUAAAAUAACAUGUGUUUAAGUUUAGUACCUGGAAUGGUUGAAGCAUAUUAAUUUCUAUUAAUAUGAUUUCAUUAAUUUGAAAAAACUACAAGAUUUGUUUGAGACUGAGUUUCUGCUUAAUAUCUUGUUGUGAGAUGGCCAAACACAUGUCCUUUCCGUGUUUACCUCCAGAUAAUGCUUGGUGUAUUAUUAAGGGUAAGAUAUAGGAGACUUUGUGGUCAAAUUCUGUCAUCAAAUACUAUUAGUUAUCAUGAGAGUUCUUAGAUGCUCAGGAAUUUUUGAAGCAAAGCUUUUCCUUAAAGAUGAUCCAUUACUAUGAUUUCAUAUUUCCUUGUGGGACAGUCUGUAAGCCUUUGGGAAGUUUUGGAUUAACCAAUUUACAUCAACCACAAUACCAGAUACAACUCCACCAGUGGUAAUUUGGGAGGCCACUUCUAGAAGCUGGAAAAUUUGCACUCUAACUUUUCACAAAGUUGUGUUCCUUUUCAUUCCUUGAGAGCUACCACAUUAAUAAUCAUAGCUCAUUUUGUAGGAUAAGUGUUUCUUAAUAUAAGUCUAAAUUUUUUUGUUAUAAUUUGUCACCAAAUGGCAUCACUGAAAGCAAAUAGACUCUAGGAUAGAAUAUAACUAUUAUCUAACUUAUAUAAUUUUCUAAAAUAUAAAAUAUUUUGAACAAUUUUAUGUCUGUGAUAUAGUUGGACACGUUUAUAUAGAAAACAAAUGAAUAUUAAUUAUCUUACAACCAAAUAGCUGUGUGCUUUCUCUAUAUGGUUUGAAAAAUAUAUAUAUAUAUAUACAUAUACUAUCAAGACAGUAAAUUGCAAUCAGCAACAGAAAACCAAUCUGUGAAUUAUCUCAUUUAUCAACGAGUGAACUCUACACUUACAGGUGAUAACACAACUUCUUAUAGGUUAUAACACUUAUAGGCUAUGACUUCUUAUAGGUAUAAUUACUUUAUUACAUCAAUAAGAAACCUGUUUUACAAAAUAUCUAUGAAGCAAAAUGCCUGAAUACUUUGAAAAAUACAUAAGGUAAAAUAAUCACUUCAAAGAACUGUAUGUUCUUGAAGACAUUUCUUUUUUUUUUUUUUUUUUGAUACGAAGUCCCACUCUGUCGCCCAGGCUGGAGUGCAGUGGCGUGAUCUCUGCUCACUGCAAGCUCCACCUCCUGGGUUCAAGUGAUUCUCCUGCCUCAGCCUCCUGAGUAGCUGGGACUACAGGCGCCCACCACCAUGCCCAGCUAAUUUUUGCAUUUUUAGUAGAGACGAGGUUUCAUUACAUUGGCCAAUCUGGUCUUGAACUCCUGACCUCGUGAUCCACCCACCUCGGCCUCCCAAACUGUUGGGAUUACAGGCAUGAGCCACCGCACCCCACCUGAAGAAUGUUCUUCUAAGGAUCAUGUAAAGCAGCAACACUGAAAUGGGCACCAUUUACACACAGUUAUGGGCCCUGUAUUUGACUAGUUAUGCUUCAUAGAAAAUGUGGCCUUUACAGCAAGGAGCUCUCCAAGUUUCUCUUACGAAAAAGAGGGUAUGAAGUGAAUGAUCUUAAACAAAGGAUGGCUCAGUUUCUAGUCUUUCGAGGAGGAGCACAUAAUUCUUCCCUCUCAGACCAAUGGAAUUAUAUUAGUUUAUAAUAACUGUUUUCUGAUUCAAAAGCUACUUUGGGGAAACCUUUUAGGAAAUGAUCUUGCCUAGCUGAAAAGAUAAGAUAUUUAAUAACUAGUCGCUGUAUCUAAAAAAAGUUGAUUAAAUGGGCACAUUCUUUCCCUGAAGGAUAGGUUAUCCCCAAAGAUAUGAUAUGAGUGUGUGUGUGUGUGUGUGUGUGUGUGUGUGUGUGUGUUCAUAUGAAUUCUCUGGAAGAGACUUUUAUUCAUCUUAGAAAUUUACAUAUGGCUUCUUUGGCUGGGUAAUCCCAGCAAAACCUUCCUCAGUCAUUGACAGUCAAAGAAUAUAAACUGCUGCUUUUUUCUUAUACUGUAUUUUUUAAAAAGAUUUAAUAACAUUCAUUUAAUGCUUCAAAUGUAGAUGUAUGGUGCUCCUUGGGAAUCAUUUUUAUCCUUUUCUUCACAAUAAAAGGAGGAGUGAGAAUUAUACUUGUGACUCCUGAGUUUGCGUAUAGAGCAGUAACUUGUGAAUAAUCAUUUUUUUGUAGCUACUCGUCUUCUGGACUUUAGGGAAUUUACAGAUAUGGAUAAAUCCUUUGCUGUGAGGUUAUACUCUAUGAAUGAACAUAGAACAAAGUAAAGGAGUUUGUCAUUUCAAAAAAAAAUGAAACUCAAGAUCUGGGGACAUUUUUCUCACUAAAGUUUGGAACUGUGAUUUCCAUAGCUGCAAGUUCUGUGACUUUGGCGAGGGUGAUGUAGGUCACACUUUGAUCUAUUGAUGACCAAAGCCUCUGUUUGAGUGAUGUGAAAAAUAUUCUCUAGUGUUACAGCACUAAAGUAAAAAGCAAACAAUUUGCUGCUGUACAUUAGUGAAUGAGAUGACGUGCACUCUAAGGAUAUUAAACUUUCAUUUUAUAGAGAAGAAUUGCAAGAUGGAUUUUGCUUUGGUAUUCAUACUCAAAAUAAACGUGUUCACUUUUUAUAUUCAAAUGUGUCUUUAAAGUUGGAGGCCAAUUGAAAUGCACUAUACAAUCUCCUAGAAUUUAACUCCAAUAACCCUAGUUAAUAAGGAUAAUGCCUUUUAUUGUAUAGUGCUUUAGAACACAAUGAGUGUUUUCCCAUAUGUAACUCUACACUUAGGACUAAACUAAGUUUAGAAAAGAGAGCUCUUAUUAGUCCCAUUCGAAAAAUGAUUCAACAUCCCCACUAAGGCAUUGUGACUCUUCUAAGUUAUGUAAAUGAAAGGGUUUAUGUGCAAAAAACAUACUUCUUUCAUGAGAGCAGAGAAGAGGAACCUAAAACAUUAGGAGAUGUGCCUCUAGAAUCAGUAAUCUUGAUGAUUGAGGCAAUUCCUCACAUGCUUGGAGUUUUUCUAGAAUAUUGAUUCACUUCUGCUUGGCAUCAAUUGUCAGGGAGUUACAUCUCGAUUCCCGUCCUAGCACCAGGAUAUUUUCAUAUCUUAUGCCUAUAACUCUAGAUCAUUUUGAUAUAUUUUAGUUGAAAGUUUUCUCUUAUGCUGAAUCACCUGAUGGAUCUGAAGUAUAAAAAUAGCAUAAACUAAAAGAAAGUUAAUAAAAAACAUAUGAGAAGGUUUUCAACUGCUCGUCAUUGGGGAAUAUAUUUAAGACAGUGAAUUACCAUCUUCACCCUCCAGAUUAAAAAAUGAAAGUUGGAUCUUAUCAAUUUUGAAAAGGACGUGGAGGGAUGGGAAUUUUCAUGUAUACCGGGUGGUAUAUAUGCUUUUUCUUAUAAGCGCUGCAGAGUAAAUUGUCAGUAUCUAGAAAAAAAUAUGCAAAUUAUCCACCAGAAAUUCCAUGCUAGAAACUUUUACCCAAGAGAGCAAGACUUGCAUUUGGAUAUUUAUUGCAACAUCAGUUUGGGAUAUUUUUUGCGGCUUUAUUUGUAAUGGUAAAACAAUACAAUGCUUUUGUUUAUGCUGCUAUAAUUUCAUAUGAUGGCAUAGUUUUCAGUUAAAAGGAAAAUAUUUCUCCAUAAAAAACACUGAGAAAUUUAAAAACAUUGUUGAGUGAAAAGAGAAAGAAGUUAUACAGUCCCUAGGAUAUUAUAUCAUUUAUAUAAAUUUACAGAACUUAGUAUAUACAUGUACGCAUACACUCACACACAUAUCACUGAUGCCAUGCCAGAUAUCAUAUUAUCAUAUCUGUAUUCAGAGAAGGAAGAUUAACAAAGAGGUAGCACCACCAACCCCCACUGAUAUCUUCUUACAUCUUAUUAACCAUAAGCAGGCCACAUAGCCAUUCCUAAUGAGAAAAAUACCUGAAAAAUCAACUAUCAUUCAAUAGGAAGAGAAUUAUUGUCAUUGGUGGGAAUUAAUAACAAUUCAUGUUCUAAAAAAAUUAGCAUUCUGUAGGCAGAAAGAUUUAAGCAACCAACAGUAAGUAUCUGGCAAUUAGUAAAUCACACUGUUGAAUACAGUUCUAUUUUUCAAUAGUAAUGAUGAAUAUACCUCUUUAAACCCAUUCUGAUUUCAAGCUCUUUGUGAAGACAUCCUGUUUUAAAUGUUUCCCUCAUUGCCCCCAGCACAUUCAGUGAUGGACAUAUGAAAAGCACUCCAAAAAUGCUUGUGAUUAAAUAACGCUGAGAAGAAUUCACAAUCUUUAAAAUGAGAACUUAUCUUAGUAAUUGAUAGAAAUUUUCUGGACCACAAUUGUUACAUUUAUAAAGACUGAUAGAAUUAAUGUGUAUAGUAUGUUACAUCUUUCAUGCUAAAAUUUAAAAAGUAGUUUUCACUAUUCCUUUUACAUAAGUGCUUGAAUUAUAACUGCUUGAAAUUGAAAACUUCACCUGCUAUAUGCAAUUAGAUAGCAGCAUAGUCUCCAUUCAUUCCAGUGGAAUUUAUGAAAUGAAGCUCAAACUGCAGCUUAUUAAUCCUUAAGUUAUAAUUUGUUUUAUAAUCAGAAAGGCAUUGUGACAGGCCAGAUAGGCUGUUUCCUUUAGAAACUUAACGGACGCUUUACAUGUUAGGACUGUUCCUUAGGUCAAGUUUCUUGAAAAAACAAUGUGAGAUUGAGGUUUGCUCACAAGAAGUUAUUGAGGAGUGAACUGAGACAAUGCCCAUAAGGAAAAGAGUCAAGCAGGAUCUCACAGAGCAAGAGGCUGAACCACGGUAGGUGGUGAGGGAGUAGUUCCCUUUGGCAAGGUUUGUUCCUUGGGCAGGAAUCAACUGAGACCUGUCAGCAGCUGAGAUUUCUGAGAGUUCAGUCUGAAAGAGAAUACAAGCAGAGCGGAUGUGAUUUUAUUGGUCAUCGUUACUAAACACUGCAACACAGAGGAUGACUACUGAUACGUUUUCUUUGAUUUUAUAACAGUUUUGAUAUAAAAACAAGUGAGCAUUUAGCAUUCUUCUGAGCAUGAUUGGAGUAAGAUCAUAUUAUUCCCAAUGUGUGGAUUAUAAGCACAAAGUUCUCUAAGUUGUAAUGAUUAACUGUUUAUUUCACAAUCAUCUAUCAAAUAAAAUGUUCUUAUUGAUUAGAGUGACUCAAAUUAGGAAAAUUAAAUCACGGUGACACGUAACCAAAUAUUACUAGCAAAGCUAAAAAUAAUGAAAUAAUAGCAGUUAUGACAAUUUUGAGCCUUGUGCAAACUCCUAUAGCCUUCUGUGUGGAGGAUCCCCAAGACGACCCCAAAGUUCAGUGAUUCACCAGGAAGGAUUGCAGGACUCAGUGUGUGGUCAUACUCGUGGCUAAGAUUUAUUGCAGCAAAAGGAUACAAAAUAAAAUCCGCACAGGGAAGAGGCACAUGGGGCAAAACCCCAAGACAAGUUUUCAAAAGUUCUUUCCCAUUGGAGUUACACAGAAUGUGCUUCAUUCUUCUAGGAUCAAACUGUGGCAACAGGAGAGACGUGCUACAGGGCAGCUCUUUGCUGCAGUGUUGCAGAAACUGAAGAGAUUUAGUGCCCAAGGUUUUCACUGGGCCUAGUCAUAUAGGCACCCUCUGCCUAACACCUGCCCAAAUUCCAGACUGUUGGGGGGGGGACGCAGAUGUUCAGCAUAAACCACAUUUGUCCAAAUGGCUUAGGCACAGUAAAUCACAUUCAUCAAUUAGGAAAUGACAGGAACACUCACAAAACUCAAGUUCCCAGAUGCCACCGAGGACUAACCUUGCAAGCAGGCCUUUCUGAAGGUAGCAGUUAAGUCCUGCUAUGUUAACUCUUUUCUAAAUACCUCAGAUUCUCUAUUAUUAUGCAGUAAUUUUACUAUAUAGUGUUUGGGGAACCGGAUCCCUGGCUCUAGGCCUUCUUCUAAAACAUGUAACACAUUUACAUUUCCAAUAUUUAGUGAGAUUAAUGUCAGUUCUCUUAUGUGAAAUGAGAAGCCACAAAAGAUUUCCUGGAAAUUACAGAAAAUAUGACUUUGUGCUCUUUUUCUUACAUGUGAAUAAGAAGAGACAACGUAGAAAAAGAACAGUAGCAAAGUCACACACAGUAGUGGAAGCAAGUGAGCCAUGAGAAGAAAGCGCAAAGUGAAUGGCUUAAAAUCACGGAUGCUGGAGACGGUCUGGCUGCGACCCUUGGACUGUCUUGGCCUCUGUUCCCUCAUCUAUAAAGUGGGGCUGCAAACGGUCUUGACUCAUAAAGCCCCUUUUGGGAAAUGAGUUCACUUUUCUAUAUUUGUCAAAUAUAUUUAAAUAAUACCGGGAAUAUAGUAAAGGUAACCUCUUCAGUGUUUGUAAAAUAAAACUAAGUUAUAUAAAUUAACAAACAGGCACCUCUCUAAAACAGCAAAAUAUGACCUAGUUAAACUUCUUAGCCCAGGGUAUAAAAUUAAUGUUGGAAAGGCCAGUAGUUUAGAAAAUAUAAGAAGGGAAAUAUACAACCAGAUUUUAGGUAAGAUUUCAUUUGUUUGGAUUGUAUUCUUCCCAAAAGACACUCAAAGUAUUGUGAAAAAAACAAUCGAAUUUACCCUUUACUUUCACACUCAAAUAUAUAUUUUCUCUAGAAAAAUAAUACUACAUGUAUUAGUCUCUAGAGACUAAUACAUGUAUUAGUCUACUAGUCUCUAAAGGGACAGAACUAAUAGAAUAGAUGAAUAUAUGAAGAGAAGUUUACUGGGAGAAUUGACUCACAUGAUCACAAAGUGAAGUCCCACAACAGGCCGUCUGCAAGCUGAGGAGCCAGGAAGCCAGUCUGAGUCCCAAACCACAAAAGUAGGGAAGCCGACAGUGCAGCCUUCAGUGUGUGGCCGAAGACCCGAGAGCCUCUGGCAAAUCACUGGUGUUAAGUCCAAGAGUCCAGAAGCUGAAGAACUUCGAGUUGGAGUCUGACGUUCGAAGGCAGGAAGCACCCAGCAUGGGAGAAAGAUGGAGGUCAGAAGACCCAGCCAGUCUAGUCCUUCCACCUUCUUCUAUCUGCUUUUAUUCUAGCUGUACUGGCAGCUGAUUAGGCAGUGCCCACCCAGAUCGAGGGUGGAUCUGCCUUUCCCAUCCACUGACUCCAGUGUUAAUCUCCUUUGACAACGCCCUCACAGACACACCCAGGAGCACUACUUUGCAUCCUUCAGUCCAAUCAAGUUGACACUCAAUGUUAGCCAUCACAACAGAAAAUACAAAUGAAACAAAAUACAAAUGAAAUUUAUCUCACUGUCCUUUAUUCUUAGGCUUGUCAUUUCAUAGUACAUAGUUUAUGGGAUUUGUGUACUUUUUCCGUUUUAGUAAAAGUAUUUUUAUUCGCUAGUUUAAGUUGCUGCAAUUUUCAAAAAUUUUCAGACUUCAACUGUUUCAGAGCUUGUUUACAUAGCCUUAUACUUCUGAUGUAACUUAAUUAAAUUACUAAAAGACACUAGGAAUUUCUCAUGGCACUCUCUUUUCUUUAUUUCAAAUUCCCAAGUGAAGAUACUUUUUUUUCUCUCUCUCUCUCUCUCUGAUAACCACCGUAAAUACAGAAAACUGGGGCAGACACACCCAGUGAUGACCCUCAGUGAGUCACCUGCUUGUCAUGUAUUCUCAUCUUGAGAGUAAGUGGACUUACGAGUGUUUCUGACCAACACCCCCGUGAUUAUGUUAUGUUCUAUGGCAAAACGGAAGGGAUUUUGCAGAUGUAUUAAGGUUACUAAUCAGAGGUUAUCUUGGAUAGGUUGACCGUAUCAGGAAAACCCUUUAAAAGAAGAUCUGGAGAUCAGAGAAUCUCUCUCCUGCCUAAUAAAAAAGCAGCCUUGAGGUUUUCACCUGUAUGGAAUGGCCUGAGCUUGGAAAAAGAUCAUAAGCUUCAUAGGAGACCCCAGCCCUAGCUGACACUUAGCGUGCAGCCUUGUGACCCCUUACAAAAGGACUAAGCUAAGACAUGUCUGGAUUCCUGACCCAUGGAAUCCGUGAGAUAGUAAAUAUCAUUUAUUUUAAGUUGCUAAGUUUGUGGUAAUUUAUUCAGCAGAAAACUAGUAAAAUGAGUAUAAUAAAACCUAUUUAUAUUUGAGAAGCACCUAUAUGGUCUCUAAACCUCACAAAAAAAAUAAGUAGGGUAGACUAAGCCACGGUAACAAAUUGACCCAAGCAUAUGUUUCAACAAUAUGAAGGUGCUUAUUUGAUUGUUGACCAUAUAAUGAUUUUCAGCAAUGCCACAGUCACAGGAAGGCUUUACUCACAGUCAUUUAGGACCUUACGGGGCCAGUGGCUCUGCCAUCUCUGAAUUAGCUUUUGAGGUCUUCCUUGGAGUUGCCCUCCAGCUGGUAGGAAGGGGCAGAGAGCAAGAAGGAGUGUGGGGCAAGAUUCUGGGAUACACUUCAGUCCCCUUGCAUCUCAUUGGCCAGAACGCAGUCACAUGAUGGGUCACACAAGAGGGGCCGGGGAAUCUGAUCCAGCUUUGUGCUCCCUGAGCACAAAGAAGAUGUGAAAUUUAGGGAAUAAUUAGCCUUUUAAUACACCCGUCAAGGUACUGAUAGAGGGCCCCCUUGACAUAUGAGGAAACCUAGGCUGAAAACAGAUCAGUAACUUAUCCAAGGCCACUAUGCAAUGCCCUCUCUUGCUUUACCACUCUCUUUAAUGGUUGAGGAUGAUAUUUAUGUAGGUAGAACUUGUGUGCUACUUUUGUAUAAUUUGUUAUAAUUUCACAAGAUGCUUUAUGAAGAUCUUUUGGUAAUUCCUUAAUCCACUCAACAUAUAAUUUUGUUCAGUAAAGGGAAAGAUGUUAUGGGCUGGGACACAAACAUGUUCAAUGUAUCACAAUUACCCUAGAGGAAUCGGCCCAUGAGGAAGUCGCGACUGUUCUAUUAUUUUCAGAAAACAGGUCUGUGAUCCAAAAUAUUUUCUGACUUGGAAAGUUAACAUCUUGUCAGUAGCUGAGCCAAGAAUAGAACUCAGGUCUCAUGACUUCAAAUUUCCUUUUUCAGAGCAACUAUGCGCAAUUCCCAUUUUGUAAGGACAUCUAAAUAGCACUUCACAAUUUUUUCUUUUGAACAACAAAAAAUAUAUUUACCAUAUGACAAAUUCCAGAGAUGAAUUUUGCGUGUGCUGAAGAGGAAAUAUUACUUCACGAGUAUUACAAACUUGCAUUACACUUACAAAUGUUUAUUUUACUACAAGGCAAUAUUAUUUACCAAAAAAAAAAUCUGUAACAUAAAGCUUAAAAUAGGUAUCUGACUUUUUGUUUGGUACUGAAACAAUUCACUUUUAAAAAUCACUGUAAUGGAACAAACAAGUUUACACUUUGUCAUCUGACGUCGUAGACAGCUUGAAAAUAAAUUUAAAUGUUCUGAGUUUUAGUGUUCUUGUGUAUCCAUUGGGUUUAAUACUCUCUUGACAGCAUUUUUGGAAGGUAUUAUUGGCAUAGUACUCGCUGAUGGUUUACAUAGCAUUCAAAUACUAGCUUCUCAAUCUCUGAAGUUGACAGUGCUGUAAGAAAAAAUUCAAUCUUGUUUCUGCCUUUUUGGAAUUCUGAUAAAGCUCCCUCCUGUCAUUUAGAAUCAUGCUUCUGUCUAAACAAUUUUUAUUGACAAAAAAUGACUUAAAAUGAACAGUGUUCAGAAAUUGCUGUUGGUAACAAAAAUGAAUGGGGAAAAAACUUGAUAAUGAUUGAAAAACGGAUAAACAACCCUUCCUUCUCAAUUCUUUUGUGAUUUUCUUGACUUGGGGAAAGCUUGGAAGUGUGAUAAGGAAAGAGAAAUGUCUAAAAUGUUGCCAACAGAGCGGGGUAUAAUAUAGGAGUGCAGAGCAGGGUGCCUGUCUAUCUGCAUACAUUGCUUGCAAGUUUAUCCAUUCAUAAGUAUUUAACUUUGCAUUUAUUUAUAGCCUGUGAAGGAUUCAUUACAACUUCAAAAUAUUUAAUAAAAUAUAGACCACUAAUAUGAGUGGUUGAGAAAAAAAAGAACAAAGGGAAAAGGAGGUUGUAAAAACAGCAGCUAAAUCAAAGAAUGAAUUUAGUGUCAAAAUAAAUGCAGAAAUCUUAUACCUGUACAAAAAAGAAGCCACAAAUCAUAUUCUAGUUUUCCAGUCACCGUCACAAAAAUGAUCAUGUACAGAAGUCAGUUUCAUAAGAGCUUCCAAAGUCUGGAAUGUAGGGGGCGGAAAUCAAGUCUGUAGAAAACAUGUUAAGUGGAUUAUCAUAGGGAGGAGGUGGAGUAUCUUUAACAAUUAAAGGGAAAAUGCAGAACCUUCAGAUUUUGUGUUAGUUUUAUAUUGCUGCAAGAAAAAAAAUACCACAAAUUCAGUGGCUUAAAUUACAUGAAUUAAUACACAGUUCUGGAGGUCAGAAGUUUAGGGUUCAACCUUAUAUUCUUUUGCCCCGAGAAUACUUGCUGGCAGGGCUUAUGGCUACUGUCCAUUUACCCUGAGAUAACUUUGCCAGGAAAUAUCUCACUUUUAUUAAUAUUUUUGUAUCACUCCAGUGUAUCGACUUUGGAAACAAAAGACAGCAUUUUAUUUUUAGCAUUCUGGUUUUCGUAGUGGUAUUUCCAUUUACAAAAUGUAGUAAUUCUUGGUUGCCGAAAACGUCCAAUCCUAGAAAACGUACCAUUUCUAUGCCUGAUGUUAACAUUGUUCUCAUACAGUUGUGGACCAAAGAUUCAUUUGAUGAAUCCAAUUUUUCCGAAAUAGACGAUUGUAAUAAUUCAGACAAUUCUGAUGUUAGUUCUGUUUAGAAAUAACUCCAAGAACAGUUUUUAUACUUUAAUUUCACAUUGAAAAUUAGAUUUGCUUCAGCCUCAAAGAGUCAUGUUCAUGUAAAAUUAAAUGAGUGCCAACAAUCAACUGCACUUUUUUUUUUUCUUUCCUAAAAGGGUAAAGGGUUUUAAGAUCAAAGUGUUGGCAGAGUUGCUCUUCUUUCUGGAGAAUAUAGGACAGAAUCUUUAUUAUUCUUUCCUCAGUUCCAAGAGGCUGCCUCACUCCUUGACUCAAUGUCCCCUACCUCCAUCUUCAAAGCCAACAAUUGCAAGUCAAGUGCUUUUAAUAUUGUAUCUCUCUAAUUCUUCUGUUUUGUAUAUAUAUAUAUUUUUCUAACCAAACCCACAAAGUGUUCUCCAGUUUUAGGGGUUUGUGUAAUCAGAUUGAACCUAUUUGGGAAAUCCAGGAUAAUCUUCCCAUCUCAAGGUCAGUAUUCUUAAUUACAUCUGCAAAAUAUCCUUUGCCACAUAAGGUAAUAUAUUCACAAGUAAGGAGAUUAGUACUUAGACAUCAUGGGGACAAUUAUUCUACCUACCAUGAAAGCAUAACCGUGACUUUAUCAUCAUGUCCUUGGCUCUUGAUGAUUGAUAAAAAGAUAGAAACGUUUUUAGUCUUUUAAAGAAAACUAUAAUCAAAUGAAAAUGCCAAAAACCCAUAAAAAUGUGAUGCCCAAAUCACUGUGGAUUUUUAAACUACCUAUGAGACAAAUAGUAAUAGAGAAAAGCACUUUUAUGUUGCGCUUCAUAUGGUCAUAUUUGGUUACUCUUAGAUGUGAAAAAUUAAAAAAACAAGCUACAAAUAUCUGGUUAAUUUGAGCUAGAAGAACAAAAUAUAAAAAAUUAAAUAUAAAUCUAUAUUGUAUUGAUAUAGAUUCUAAAUGCACAUGCUUUUUGCUCACCAUAUAAAUGCAAAGAGAAAUACCUUAUAAUACAAUAUGAAAUGGAAGAAACUAGAAAUGCGUUGUACUAUAAAAGGGAACUUGAUGUGUGGAACAGAAUGGCACAUUAGCAUUUUCAAUAAGAUUUUUCUGAAAGUUAAGACCUAAGCACCUCUUUUAAAGUGUUCCUUGAAGCUUACAUCAUGCAGUUCAAUUUUUUCAAUCAAGAGAGAAUAAUUAAGAUAUGGGACAAUGAGACAUUUUAUGAUUUUCAGGUAUGCCAUAUAGUAUCUACUACUUGUCCACAGAAUCUAAUUAUUUGUAGUAUUACAGUGAAAUCAUGUAAGAACUUUGACAGCUCAUCCUUCAAAUUUCCUUUUAAUAGUUUACUGUGUUCCCAAUGCCAUUUAUGUUUUAUUACAAAUUAUAAUCUUUAAUAGCAUCUUUCAGACAUUUCAAUUUUUUCGAAUUUUUAGGUAAUGUUUUCAAAGUUCAGUAAAGAGUUACCUGAAAGGAAAAUCCUUUAUCUGAUCAAUGGUAUGCCUGGGUAAACAGAUUUACUUAUAUGGAAUUUGCUCCAAGAAUGAGCCACAAGAGAAUGUUUUGGCAAGAAAUGAGGCUUGCCUCUGAUUUCCGAUAAAGAUUUGAGUUGAAACAGUGUGUGUUCACUUAAUCUUGUUAAAUGUAGCACAAAAUACUAAAUGUAUUAGAGCGUGUACUUAAAUGAUAACAAACCCUGCUGUUAGAGCUAAUAGGAAACAGUUCUUUUCUCAUUGAGUUGCCACAAUCAAGCAUUCCUUUAGAUAUCAUCAUUUAGUAUGACUUCUUACGCUUGACUGUAAUAUGCUUUGUAUUUGUAAGCCUUUGUCUUUCCUUAUUGCUAAGCAACAAUUUCCUUUUUUCUCAAAGGGAUAAAAUUUGAGGACAACACAGCUCAGAUACCAACUAAUACAAAAUGUACAAAUAUUUAAACUUAAUUUGGAUAGCUAUAAAUAAAAAAGGAGAAUAAGAACCAAAUCUCUGAAUCUACUGAUGAUGAUUAAAAGCAGGCAGUGAAAUAUUGAAACCAAGCUUUUCUAGGGAGGACUGUUUUCUGCAUUUAAAUUUAUCUUUGUAUCUUGAGCUUGCAGAGCUUGGUGGGUAGGGCAAGGAGGUCUUGCAGUGGAGUGGAGAGAGUUCUUAAAUUCAUCUUCGUCCUCCAGGAGGGUUUAGGUACACUCUGCCUUAAGGCAGGGUGAUGACCUCUGUGGGUCUCUUCCAGCAUCAAGCUCCUGUGAAGUAAAAAGCAGUUAUAAAACCUUUAGAAUACAUCUUGAAAUAUAUAGUUAUAAAAAUAUAAAGAGCCCCUGAAGCAUUGUCUGCAUCGAGGAACCAAUAUUAUUUCUUACCUCUCCUUUACAUUUAACAUGAAAAAUGUCAGGUAAAACAUGGUGAAGUUUCGUUUCCAAUCUCAUAUUAGAACUAAUGGGAAUGGCCACAUUCUUCCAAGCGUCAGCUGGAUGUGUAUCAAAGUCUUCAGAGCUUAUCAUGAAACUACCAUCACUGAUUCUUCUUCGUAGUUAUUAAGGAGUAAAAUGCCAUAUACCUGUCUUAUCAAACUUCAUUCUAAUCUAUUUGAUAAAUGAAAUUGGUAUAAAUAGCCAACUGACUGCGUCAUUUUGGUUUUACCAUAAAUAAUAAUAUAUAUGGGCCAUGUUUGUGCCUUUAACUAGGCAGCUUUUGACUAUAUGAGCUAGCAUUCAUUAAUCAAGUAAAAGUAAGCUUCAGAAUGUCGCUCAAUUUGAAGAACCUACAUGAAAGCUGAAGAGCUUUUACACAGACCAAUUAGGACUAACUUGAAUUUAAAAUAUUUGGAGUAACCUGAUCUCAUUUUUAUAUCAUUCAUUCAAGUACAGGAGCCUUAUAAAUAAUAUUGUCUAAAAUCAACUACACGUUUUCAGUUUUGUGGGUAAAAAUGAGUAAAUAAGGCUUAAGGAUAAUAAUAGCUAGGGUAAUCUGAUGCCAAGCACUAUUUCAUUUGCCUUAUUUUUAUUAACUGAUUUAAUCCUCAUGCUAUCUUGUUAUUAUCUUCCUUGUACUGAAGUGUAUGUAGGGUCAAAAUAGUGAAAUUGCUGAGGUUACACUAGUAACUUCAGUGGUAAGGUCAACGCUGAAAUCCUAUCACUUUAUAGUCUACCUGCCAAACCUCCUCAUUAUAUAUAUCCUGUCAGUAGUAAUUACCUGUGCCUUUUUUCAUAGUGUUCCCUGUGAAAUAGGAUAUCUUCUUCCUUAAUUCUACAUGUUAAAAAGUGUGUCCAAAGUGAUAAAGCUAAUUAGUGGCAGUACUAGGGAGAAUACUUUGAUUUGUGAAUUCCCAAUUUUAUUGUUCUCCUAUUAUGUUUCAAUGCUUCUAGAUGCCCAUUAUCCUUUGAGGGGUGGGAGAGGAAGAGGCAAGUCAAUGAAUUAAUAUUUUUAUUAUAAUUUCACAUCCAUAUUGUAUGUGUUUUUUUCAAGGACUAUAUGAGAUGCACUGAAACAGAAACAAUGAUUAAUAAUGACUAUUAUAUUCUAAUGGGAGAGAUAUGACUGUUACCAAAAAUAUGGUAAACACUCAGAUUUAACUUGGAAAGUUGAUGAGGCAUAUAACUUAGAAAAUUGUACACACACACACACAAAGGCAUAUAUAUAUAUACACACACACAGAUGUCUUUUUACAUACAUAUAUACAUAUAUUAUAUAUGUGCCUGGGUUUAUAGGUAUGAGCUACCAUGCUCUCUCUCUCUCUCUCUCUCUCUCUCUAUAUAUAUAUAUAUAUAUAUAUUUAAUGUCUGAUAUAUAUAUAUAUAUCAGACAUUAAAAAUGACAUUCUUUCUGGCUUUGCUGAACAUGAAAUGAUUCAUGGAAGAAGCGAUAGCCAAUUUGAAUCUUAAAAAAAUGGAUAUAAUACUGACAGCCAAAGUUAGGAAGGAAAGACAUUCUAAUCACAGGGAAAUGUGUGAGAAAAAAACUUGACUCAAACCUCAGCAUCACGCAAUAUAUCCAUGUAACAAACCUGCAGAUGUACCCACUGAAUAUAAUUUUUUAAUGAAAAAUUUAAAAAGUAUUAGAGACACAUAAUUAAAAAAAUCCUAGCAAAGAACAAUGAGUAACAUUGGAUAAAAAUACAAGGUAGGAAAAAUAAUUAGUGGAAAAUAAUUUGGAAAGCAAGUUAAGUUAUAUCCAGUUACUUCCAACUUUAGAAUUUAAGAUAAUUAUUUAGGCUUCAUGUGAUAAACAGUAGUAUGUGCUAGAUAUUUAGGGCUAAGUGAGGGCCUGAGUACCAGUCUAGAGAUCCAUGUGGCUAAAUAAGUAUUUGAAGAUUGUUUUAGGGUGGGCAUAGGGGGAAUGUGGCUUCAUCUAAUCUAAUUUUUUCCUCAAAUAUGUUAGACACAACUAAAUCAGAGAGGUCAAUGUUAAUUAUGCUUGUUAAAAUGUAAGCUCCACUAGAAUAUAAACUGAGAGCACAGGCAUUGUUAAUUUUGCCAACUUUUUUAUCCCCAGACUCUAAAACUGUAACUAUUCCAUAGUAGGCACUAAUGCACAUUAGUUAAAUGAAUGACUAAGAAGGUCAACAGUUUUAAGCAGUAAAAUAAUACCUAAAUAGGAAGAGUGUCAAUAGUUUAGUGGCUGAGGGGGUCAGACAUAUAAGAUACAAAUACAAUAACAAACGAAUUCAGUAAAUGUUCAGGAAAGGGAUAAUAAAAAAAUAAGUUAUAGAAUGUCCAAUCCUAUUGAAUGGUUGUCAAGUGGCACGUGAUAGCAUUCCUACAACUUAAGACACAAGAAUAAAAUCAAUUGUUUUGGGUACACUUAUGCAAUAAAUAAAUAGUGAUUGACACUAUGGAGAACAGUAUGGAGGUUCCUCAAAAAAACUGAAAACUGAGCUAUUGUAUGAUCCAGCAAUCCCGCUGCUGGGUACAUACCCAAAAGAAAGGAAAUCAGUUUAUCGAAGAGAUAUCUGCACUCCUACAUUUGUUGCAGCACUGUUUACAGUAGCUAAAAUUUGAACCUAAAUGACCAUCAAUAGAUGAAUGGAUAAAGAAAAUGUAGUACAUAUACACAAUGGAGUACUUCAGCCACAAAAGAAUGAGAUCCAGUCAUUUGCAACAACAUGGAUGGAACUGGAGAUCAUUAUGUCAAGUGAAAAAAGCCAGGCACAGAAAGACAGACAUCAGAUAUCCUCAGUUAUUUGUGGGAUCUAAAAAUCAAAAAUUUAAACUUACGGACAUAGAGAGUAGAAGGAUGGUUACCAGAGGCUGGGCAGGGUAAUGGGGGGCUAGUGGAGAUGGUUAAUGGGCACAAAAAUUAGAAAGCAUGAAUAAGACCUACUAUUUGAUAGCACGAUAGGGUGACUAUAGUCAGUAAUAAUUCAGUUGUACAUUUUUAAAUAACUUAAAGAGGAUAAUUGGAUUGUUUGUAACACAAAUAAUAGAUGCUUGAGGGAUGAAUACCUAUUCUCCAUGUGAUGUGCUUAUUUCACAUUGCAGGCCUGUAUCAAAACAUCUUGCAUGCCCCAUAAACACACACACUUACUAUGUACCCACAAAAAUAAAAAUAAAAAUAAAUAGUGGUUGAGUUAUGAAAUAAAUUUUCACGUCAUUUAUGAUGUGCUCUGGAUGGGAGUUUAUGUAUGUAGGUAUAUGAGAUAGGAACUUCUUGUCCUGUCACCGAGGCUGGAGUUCAAUGGCACAAUCUUAGCUCACAGCAUCCUCGAACUCCCUGGCCCAAGUGAUUUUCCCACCUCAGUCUCUCAAGUAGCUGGGACUAUACGCAUGCAUCACUAUAUUCAGCUAUUUAUUACUAUUAUUAUUUGUAGAGACAGAGUCUCAAUAGGUUGCCCAGGCUGGUCAUGAAAUCCCUGCCUCAAGGAGUCAUCUCUCCUCUGCCUCUGAAAGUGUUGGAAUUACAGGUAUGAGCUACCAUGCUUGACUUAGCUGGGAAUUUAAAUCCCUAGCCCCAUCCUUGUCUGUCACCACUUUGUCCAGUGACAUUAGGAACAAUCAGCCAACCUUAUUAUAUUUAUUAGUUUUCCAUAAAUAUUUUUACAAGAAUUAUAUACACAACCACCAAGUUCCUUGAUAAGGAGUAUCCAGUAAAGAUAUUUUGCCUCUCUCUAUUGGUAGAUCAUGCCAUGAACUAGCAAUACUCUCUCUACUAACAGAAAAACGGUCACUAGUGUCUUUAAAUCUAAUCAAUUUAUGAAACCCCAAAGCCAAUUCAAAAACCUCAGCCUUAAAACCCAUUUUUCUAAAACCACUCCCCAAAUCUGUAUCAGUCAAGACUCUUCAGAGAAACAGAACCAAUAAUAUAGAUAGAUUGGUAGAUCAAGAGAUGGAUUAUCAAUACAUUUUAAAGGAUUGGGUCACACAGUUACUGAGGCUAAGUCCCAAAAUCCUCAGUCGACAACCUGGGGACCUAGGAGAGUUGAUGGUACAGUUCCCGUCUGAGUUUGAAGGCCUGGGGGCCAGGAGAUUGUGUGGCGUUAGUUCCACUGUAAGGUGGGAGAACAGUGUCUCAGCUCAGAGUCAAUCAGAGACAAAAUUCUCUCUUAUUCUGUCUUUUUUUUUUUCUAUUCAGGCCUUUAACUGAUUGGAUGAGGUCCCCCCUACAUUGUGGAGGACAAUCAGCUUCACUCAGUCUACUGAUUCAAAUGUUAAUCUCAGCCAGAAACACCCCCACAGACACCCCAGAAUGAUGUUUAACCAAAUAUUUGGGCACAUUGUGGCCCAGCUAAUUUGACACAUAAAAUUAGUCAUCACAAGGGGCAGGGAAGUCAAAGCAAUUAUUAACACUAAUACACUCAUGCACACACACACAAACAAAACUGUUUUGGACUUUAAAAGGCAUUCCUAAUUAUCUGUAAAUAGAAAAUAGAGGGAGGAAUGUGAUAAAGAUCUUGAGAAAAAAAUGAUAGGCCUCAAUAUUUGAAGUAUUUUAGCUAUUUAUGAAUUCCAUGAAGCCUUCAUUUGUGAAUACAUUAUAGCAAGAGGGAAGAAUUCAUCAGGUUUUAAAAGAACUUGUCUCUGAAAAGUACAAAAAAAUAGAUCUAUACUUAUCACUAAGCCCUUGAGCUCAUUUCAAUUAGAUAUAUAAAAAGAAACCAAGGUAAGCCAUUUCACUCGGAUGGGUUUAUACAUCCCGAUGUGAGUUAAUUAUAGGUUUUAGACACAAUUGGACUUUUAACAUUCAUGUGCAUGUUGGAGAUUCUUAGAUCAUGCAAAAGAUAAUGAACAAUUCCAUAGGUGGUCUUGUUUAUUGUCAUAUUUGCAGUUAAUUUACUUCACAGUUCAGCUACCCCAAACUGAAGAGUAGUCACGUUUUCAUUGUCAGGGUUUUAACUUGUGGAAUAUGGAUGAACUUCAGCUGGGUCCUGGGGCUUUCCUGAAAUUAGACACGAAACAUUGAAUGUACGUACAUUUUCCUAAAAAGAGUUCCGUGGCUUUCAAGAAACUCUCAUUGCCCAACACUUUCCUUGUUGAGAUGACCAUUAUCUGCAGCUACAAGCUGGCUUUCAAAAGUAGUAAUUUUAGUGCAUUUUGACUUGGUGAAAAUGACCUUGUCAUACAGCUGUGGCUUAAAAAAAAAAAGCAUUGUCUACUGUACACUUUUAUUCAAGAAUUUCUUCAUUUAUUUUUAAAAUCAAAGCAGUCAUGCAAUUCCUGUGGUAGAUGAUUUGAGGUACUUUGAUUUUGUAACUUGUAAAGAAGAGGGAAAAAAAGCGCUUUGAAAUCACAAGGUUUUUAUUUGGAGAGUUGAUGAAAACUGGUUCUCCCAAUGCAGUAGGCAAAAAAGCCUUCUAACCUUGGAAUCUGACUUAUUUUUUCUAUUCUGUGAGAUAGAAAUAGCAAUUUCUAAGCUCUGAUAAAUCUUCGUAAAAUAAAUUUUAAUAAAUGACUAAUUUAGAAAUAAGGGCAUAAAAGAAACAUAGUCCCACCAAUAUUUAAUCCAUGCUGUGAACUGAAAUGUUGUCAUCAGGUACAAAUAUGGUAAAUUGAACAUCCACUGACAUAUUUUCCAGAUAUGCAAAAGCUUGGGAGGAGACAGGUCUGAUUAUAAUCAUGACUUCAAUAAAUUAACUAUUCUCCACUUUGUCUUGAUACUUGUGAUGAGCUACCUUUUAUACAAAAAUACAUAAAUUAAUGUAUGUAAAAGAGAAAUUACUAGACUAUUAUACUAUAACAUUUUAUACAUUAAACAAGUAGGAUUAUCUAUAUCUAUGUAUAUGAGAGAGAUACAUGGAGAUAUAGAUACAGAAAUUUACCUAUGUAUAACUCCUUAGAAAAAGGACUCGAUUUUUUAUUUCUAUAUAUUUCUUUGGGUAGAAGUUUACAUUUCUUCUAACUGAAGUAAAAUGUUGUAUUCAAACAAUUUUAGUUUUUCAAACUAAUUAGACAAAUCUGAAUUGUUUGGUUCUUACAAAAAUAGGCAAUUUCCAAAUUUCAGUACCCUUUUUCAUUCACAAAUGUCACCUGUCCAUAUUUUACUUUCACACACUAAACUUUGCAUUUUUGCAUCUAUAGAAUUUAUGAACAAUAGUUUGAGGAAAUGGUCGCAGUGAGGGGUGAACUAACUGAAACCUUAAUUUCGUUGAUUCCACUAUUUCUUUCCCGCUGUUCAUCAACUUUAAUUCUGGUUUAUAUCAUACACAGUUUAGAUUCCAUAGCGUUUGUAAUUAAUCGCUUACAUUUACACCCUAUUUGCUUGUCUCUUUCUCCUGCAUCUGACUUGUUGGCAAAACUCCAACACUAGAUCUAUGUAAACCCCUACUUUCUCCACAACCACACCGCAACAGUAAAACAUUAUUUAAAACAAUUACUCAACAAAACUGAUUGCUUUUAUUUUAAAUUCAUUAUCACAGUCCUCAAAUGUUAUAUUAUGUUUCUUUUAGGGACUCACAAUUUCCAUCCCUUUUGUGGCUAUUUUAUUUAAUUGUUUCUCCUUAAAGCAUUCUCUCAGGAAAUUAGGGUGUGUUAUCAGCAAAGUCCCCUAUAUCUCUACUCAUUUCUCAAGGUCCUCAUACUUCCUGCUCUAAACAAAUCCUUUUUCCUCUCUGUGUCUCUAAUCUAGAGAGUGUCUCUGCUACUUCAAAUCUCUCUGACCUCUUUUAAAUAACUCACUAGAUUAGAUCAGUCCUUUCAGGAUAACCCCAUUUUGAUUAUCUUAAAGUCAAUUUAUUGGAGAUUUGAAAUACCUCUGCAAAAUCCCUUCAACUUUGCCUUGCAGGCUAACUCAAUUAUAGGAGUAAUAUUCCAUUAUAUUAAUAGUCCCCAUUCUCACUUAAAAGCAUGGGAUUACAUAGGGUGUGUGUGUGUGUGUGUGUCUGGUGGAGGGGAGAGGUGGGUAUCCUCAUAUCAUUUUAGAAUUCUAUCAUUACCACAGACACCCACUGCCCAAGGUAACUCUGUGGUAAUGAUAGAAUUCUAAAAUGAUAUGAGGAUACCCACCUCUCCCCUCCACCACACACACACUCACACACACACAAACACACACACACACACACACACACACACAAACACAUAUACCCUGUAUAGACGGGAACAACACACAAUGGGGCCUUCUGGAGGGUAGAGAUUGGGAGGUGGGAGAAGAUCAGGAAAAAUAACUGAGUACUAGGUUUAACACCUGGGUGGUAAAAUAAUCUGUACAACAAACCCCAAUGACAUAAGUUUACCCAAAUAACAAACCUGCACAUGUACCCCAAACUUAAAAGAAAAGUUAAAAAAAGGAAAAAAGAAAAUUUCUUGAGAACAAAAAUAAAAUAAUAAAAAUUGAGUAGAAACUAAUAAUUAGAGUACAUUGAAAUAUGUUGAGUUUGUAAUAAACCAUGUAUCUAUGAUACUUAAAUUUAAGUUUUAGGAUACAUAGAGGUAAUGUUAAUUUAAAAAUAAGUAAAGGUAAUGAGCAUAUUCAACAUUUUAUAAAUGUUACUAUAUAUUGCUUAUAAUUUUUAAUAAUUAAGGAAUCAAUAUUAAUAAUUACCUUCUUAAUUUUAAUAAGUAAAGGGUGUGUGUGCAUAUGCAUAUUUUGUUUCUUAUAUUACAAUCUUUAUUUAUAAAGUGUAACUAUGUCUUUAUUUAUCUUCAUAUAAUUAGCAAAAACAGUUUCAGAGAUUACUGUUUUACACCUUUAAUCUUGUGAACUAUUCAGCAACCCCCAACUCUACUCAAAGUACUUAAGUUUGCGGCCUACAAUAGCUGGUUCCAUAACAUAUAUGCUCAGUAACAUAACAAUACACUGAGACAGCAGGUUUUGCAGCAGAGAAAAAUUGUAAUGAUUGCAAAGCAUCCAAGACAGGAAAUGGGAAGGACCCUAAAUGCGUCUCCCUGAGGAGUUUUGGGCUGGAGUAUUAUGGGGCAUUAGAAAAUUGGGGUCAUUGGUCAGGGGAAGGGGGAUGAAAUCAUGAUAUGGAGACUGCAUUCUUUGGUGAUUCAGCUUCUUGUGGGGUCCUUCAGACCAGUUGACAUCAGUAGUUUCACUGGUAUGUGUGACCUGAGAGAAUAUCUCAAAUGAAAAACCUAACAUUUCAUAAUGUUCACGUUGUUAUCUAUAGAACAGUCAAGUGGAACUGUUAUCUAGGGCCUACAGGAUUCUAGGAUAAUAGGCACCAAAUACCUAUGAGGAAGCACGUCAGAGAGCAAGCUGGCCUAAUGAUUAAUGCUGAGUGUGCUGCAAGCUCUGUUUACUUUCAUUUCUCUCCUUCCCUUCCUCCUUGAUUAAUUUUAUAAAGUUGUUAGGAAUGGUUUCACUCACAUUUCAUAACCUCAUUUCUGACUUAACUGAGAGGAUGGAAGGAAUCCAAAAAUAUACUACCCCCUUAAAAAUAAUAAAAUAAACCAACUCUCAACUACCUGCCUUUCUAUUGAUGUGCUGCUUCUGUUUCUACUGAAGACAGCUCCCCUAGAUAUACACCAUCUAUCUCAUCCCCUAUCAUCUCGUGGGAUAAUUUUUCCCCAUUGAUUACCUUGGAUCUCUCCUAAAUCAUGCUUCUUUCCUGUAUAUGGUCUAAGUACUCUGGCAUGCCAGGAUGCUAUAAUACCUCCAAACUUAAACAAAUUAAAGCAUCUUUUCCCUUUCAUUACAGUCCUCCAUUCGUCUGCUCCCUUUUAUAGCAAAAUUUAUCCCAAAAAAAUCCAAAAUGCUUUCUGGGCCUAUCCCAAUCAGACUCCUUCCCACCAACCUUCUGGAGCCUCCCUCUUCAGUCAUUAAGAACCUCCAUCUUGCCAAGUCCCAGUGUUUGAUUCUCAGCCUCACUGUAUUUGAACUUGAUGGCUUAUUGUAAUAAGAAAAUUAGGAAUCAAUUCUUCCCUUCUUAUGAAUUCAUCCUUCCCUUGAAUUAUAAGACACUUCAUUUUCUUUCCUGUCCUCCUAUCUCCAUGGCUUUCCCAAUCUCCUUUGUUGUUUCCUCCACUUUUCCUUUUUUGGUUGUUUAAAGCUAUAUUUCUGUAGGGUGCAGUGCUUGUCUUUCUUUUCACUAUUCCAUCUAUAGUUACUUUCUAAAUUAUCUCAUUCAGUCACAUAGUUUUAUUUUGAAUAAACCAUGUAUAUGCUAAUGACAUCCAUAUUUAUCUCUCUCAGUCCUGAGCUCUAGUUAUAACUCAUCCAGAACAGAACUCUUGAUUCCCUGUCCCCUUAAGCCUCAGUUUUUCUCGUCUCUAUAAGCGGCAUUCUCACUCACUCAGUUUUUUGUGUGUGUGUGUGAUAAAAACUGAUUCCUUUAAUUUUCUUCCACCAUAUAUCUAGGACAUCAACAAGACUGAUCAACUGCUUUAAAAUACAAGCUGGGUAUGACAAGCAAUUUCCACUUUCACCAAAUCUCUCCUAAUCCAAACUUGCAGACCCUUUCUAAGAAGGGGUAGUCCUUUAAAAAUGUGUAUCAGAACAUUAUCACUUCCUACUUAAGCCCCAAACUUAGAACACAACACAAGACCGGUUAGCUUUGCAGGUCUGUGAUUUCAGUGCUCACCUUUUUCUCCUUGAUCCCUUUGAUCUAAACCAGGUUACCCAUUUCCAGCUCUGGGCCUUUGCCCUUGCUGUCACUCCUGUCUAAAACAUGCAUCUGUCUAAAGCACACAUCUGUCUAAAACACAUCAUCUGUCUGAAGCACACAUCUGUCUAAAGCACACAUCUGUCUAAAGCACACAUCAUCUGUCUAAAACACAUAUCAUCUGUCUAAAACACACAUCUGUUUAAAGCACACAUCUGUCUAAAGCACACAUCAUCUGUCUAAAACACACAUCAUCUGUCUAAAGCACACAUCUGUCUAAAGCACACAUCAUCUGUCUAAAACACACAUCAUCUGUCUAAAACACACAUCUGUUUAAAGCACACAUCUGUCUAAAACACAUCUGUCUAAAGCACACAUCAUAUGUCUAAAGCACACAUCUGUCUAAAGCACACAUCAUCUGUGUAAAACACACAUCUGUCUAAAGCACACAUCUGUCUAAAACACACAUCUGUCUAAAGCACACAUCAUAUGUCUAAAGCACACAUCUGUCUAAAGCACACAUCAUCUGUCUAAAACACACAUCUGUCUAAAGCACACCUCUGUUUAAAACACAUCUGUCUAAAACACACAUCUGUCUAAAGCACACAUCUGUCUAAAGCACACAUCUGUCUAAAACACAUCUGUCUAAAACACACAUCUGUCUAAAGCACACAUCUGUCUAAAGCACACCUAUUUUUAAAACACACAUCUGUCUAAAGCACACAUCUGUCUAAAACACACAUCAUCUGUCUAAAACACACAUCUGCCUAAAGCACACAUCUGCCUAAAGCACACAUCUGUCUAAAACACACAUCUGUCUAAAGCACACAUCAUCUGUCUAAAGCACACAUCAUCUGUCUAAAGCACACAUCUGUCUAAAGCACACAUCAUCUGUCUAAAGCACACAUCAUCUGUCUAAAGCACACAUCUGUCUAAAACACACAUCUGUCUAAAGCACACAUCUGUCUAAAGCACACAUCUGUCUAAAACACAUCUGUCUAAAGCACACAUCUGUCUAAAGCACAACUCUAUUUAAAACACUCAUCUGUCUAAAGCACACAUCUGUCUAAAACACACAUCAUCUGUCUAAAACACACAUUUGUCUAAAACACACACCUUGAUCCCUUUGAUCUUGAACACGUUUAGCCCAUUCCCACCUCAAGGCCUUUAUAGUUGCUGACUUCCGUCUGAAACACACAUCCCUAGGUCACCACAUGGCUAAUUCUUACUUUCCUUAAUAUUCGCUCAAAUAUCACAUCAUCAGGGAGACCUUCCCUGACCAGAUGCUAAAAUACCACUUCAUCCCCAAUCACACUCUAAUCUUUUUCCAACUUUUAUUAUUUCUUCAUGGCACUUUCCCAUUACUCGUAAUCUUAUUUUUAUACUAACUGGUUUACUUGUAGCAUUUUUCUAAAAUUAGAACUGAAGUCCAAAAGGGUGGGGGCUUCUUCCUACAUGCUUGUGAUAGAUAACCAAAAAAUAUUUGUUGAGUUGAUGAAUAGUACAAUGUAGCACACCAUAGAAUAGAAACCUGCUUUGAAUUGAAAGGCAUACACCAUUUACUCAACAUUUAAGACCAUGUUUCUCCAAGGUCCCCGACCCUACCGUGUUGUUAGGUCCUCUUGGCUUUGCUGUGUCUUCCCUCUUCACCAUUUUUCUUCCCCCUUUCCUCUGUGCAAUAGUCAGAAAAAUAUCUUCAAAAUCCUUGUGACCUUAUUAUAAAAUUAAUCACCAUCCCAGACUACUUCUUGAGGCCCUCAUUCAUAUAACUAAAACAGUCCAUUAAGAAAUCUUCAUAAAUGAGAGUCUCUCAUCCCUAGCAGAGAUUAUGCUAGUUUCCUAUAAUGCUCAUAUGGAAAUCUUUAUCUCUCUCUCUUUCCCCCCUCUCACUUCCUGUCCCUUGUUUUUUCUUUCUACUCUAAAAUGGGAUACAUAUAAUAGAGAUAUGCCAAGGCUGGCUGCUCAGUGAGGCACCAGAGCCACCAGGGCAUGCUGUCUCCUUGGGCGGUCUAUUUCGAUUUCCGAAGCUCUAAUUUUAAGAAUGCUCUUUUUAUAUGAUGAGCUAAUAUUUGCCAGGCUAUAACUUUGAUCCAUUGGUCCUAUUUCUGCUGGCUGGGGCUCCUAAACAUAUCAAUUUCCUGAGCAGAAAUAGAACAGCUGCUUAACACCUCCCAUAUGCUAUUGCUUUAUAUAGUUGAAAAUUGUAAAUCCCCCAGAUUCCAGAACCUCAACUAUGUACUUUGUGAGCCUUCUGUUCUCUGUUGUAAAUAAAUUCAGUUCCAUAGCCUUUCCUCAAAUGAUCCAUUUUCCAAACACUUGAUUACGUCUUUUACUGAACUCAAGAGAGGGGACAAAACCUUUCCUGAUCAACUCAUCCAUUUCUGUCUUUGUUAUUAUUAUGUAUCAUCAUCAUCAUCAUCAUCGGAAGGAAAUAUAAUUUAAUGCAGUUACUUGUGAAUUCUCAUUUUGAUAAUUUAUUUGGUUGCUACUUUAAAAAAUAAAAACAUGAGUAUUGAUUCAUCCAAUAAACAUUAUCAAACGUCUCACUAGACAUAAAAUACUAUGCCAAUAUUAAAAUAAGCAUAAGACAUCACCACUGAUCUUGAAAAGUUUGGUUUCAUUUGUGAAACUACUAAAUUUUUCUAAUGAGCUUUAAAAGGCCAUUUAACUUCUUUGGUGGCCAGUGUUGUUGGUAAAGGCCAUGUGCGGUGUUUAGCAACAUCCUUAAUGCACUUCCAGGGUUAUGAUGCCCCAGGGCUGAACUGAGGGAGCUAAGCCAUCAGGCUAUCUCCCUAGUGAUAGGUCCUGCACUUUGACCCUCUCUGGGUAAAUGGCAGCUGCAUUCAUUUCAUUAACUUGUGGGUUAUAAGUUAAUUUAGGGGGAAAAUGCUAUUAUAGAUUUGGAUGAGUUCCAUUAAACUCCAUUAAAACUUUGACUGUAGGAUGCAUUAAUAGAGCUUCAAAUUCAGUCAAUCAAAAGAUUGAUGGAGUAUAUAGAACACAACAUUAAAUGGAAUAUUUGAUAUGAACUAGUAAAUCUUUCAGAGGAAUUCUAUGGAGAUUUUGUGAGUACACAUUUAUUUAAUAUAUGUAUUUUUUUCAAUUGUAGGUAGGGAUUUGGGGAUUGUCCUUCUAAUGUGUGCAUUUGUGUUAAUGUUUAUGAAUUAAAAUAGUAUAAAAUAUUUGAUUAGAGUUCUCUUUGCAAUUCUUCUGUGAGGAAUCAGUUUAUCAUUUAAGCCCCCAGUGAAUUCUUACAAAUUGGCAUUGUCUAACAUUGUGUUAAUUAAGGAAGGUAUAUGAAGAUCUUUGAAAUUAUAAAUACCUUUAAAGUUUUAGGAAGGGAACUAACUUCUCUUAUAUUUCAGGAAGUCACCAGUGCUUCUAAUCACAUUUUAUUCACUCAAUACAAUUAUUCAGAUAAAUAUUGCUUUUUAUUGUUUCCAUUUUACAUUUGGAAAAAAUUGAGACUCCAAAAUCGAUGUCAAUUACCAAUAUAAUUUAACAAAGUCAGUAUUUAAAUUUAGAUCUGCCUUCUUCUAAAUUCCAGAAAUAGAACAGCUGCUAUUAAUUUAACAUAUCAGUCUUUGGCCAGUGAUGAUUAUAAUAUGAUAAUGCAACCUGAGUUCUUACAAUGUGUUAUUAGUUAACUAUGAGUAAAUUAAUAUAAUAGUAAACAAAUAAAUCUCUUGUGGAUUUCAGUCCCAUGAAAACCUAAUUCAAGAGUGAAUAGUAUGUAAAGUAAGGGAAAGAGAUAAUGUCUAUUAUUAUACUCUGGAGAGGACUCACAACAUUUGAGGAAACAUUUUUCUUUACAGUGUGUGCAGCAAGCUGCAUCCCAGAGAGGUUAAGUAAUUUUCCAUAGCUUCACAGCUGGUAAAACACAGAAAUGAAAUUCAAACAUUCUUCUACCUGUCCCUUAAAACUUGCUCUUUUCAUACCAGCAGAAAUGACUUAUGUUUGACUUCAGUUUCAUCUUAAGGAUAAUCAAGUGAAUGGAUGCACAAACAUUAAUUAGGGAAAAGCAUUGAGGUUUUUUUUUUGUUGUUGUUGUAUUGGUGGUUUUGUUUUGGUCUUUUUGUUUUGGAGAUGUGAUGAAAACAUAACCAAGAAAAGAACCCUAAACCAAAAUUUAUCCUGGAUGGUCUGUUUAAAAUAAAAAUCACACAUAUUCAAAUAUCUUCUUUGUUUUAGUUGGGAUGAGUAGGGCAUGCUACAGAAGACGAACCUUACAAUCCUCAUGGCUUAACAUAAAAUGGGAUUGUUUUUCCCUCACAUGGAGCCCAAUGUGGAUUAGUUUGUCCCUCUUCAAAACAUUAUUCAAAUUCCAUCUUUUAGCUAUGUCAUCUAGAACUCAAGCUUCUAAAGUCCCUACAGAGAGAUCUUGGGAUUUAAGCAAGAUGAUUUUAAACACCAGGCCUGAAAAUGAUUUGCAUCACUUUUAUUCACAUCUUGUCAUCAAGAACCGGAUUGAGUAGCCCCAACACAACUGCAGAGGAAGCUGGUGCCUCCAAAAGAGCAUAUGGAUAUAUUGAUAGUACUUCGAGCCUAUAGCGUAUUUCAAGAAGAACUUCAAGAAGUUCUUUAACAGAUUCCUCUGCUUGCCAGGUACCUAAUACACAUUCCUAGGUGAACUGGACACAUAAAUGCAAUCAGAAAAACAUAUGCCAAUAUUGUGUGCUAAGUCAAAAGGAGAUAAUAUGAAAUGUUUUAAGGGGGAAGUUGGAGAUACAUGAACAGAUAUUUCCAAAUCAGAACCGCGCUUUGGUAACGUUGUUUAAAAGUAGCAGCAGCUUCCUCAGAAAAAGAAUGUGAUUCAAGUUUGGCAUGCCUUCUUUUUCAUUGCUUAGAUUCUUCAUCUUUGAAGAAAAAGCUAAUAUUCAUGAAUAUAUGAUUUUGAGUCAUCAGGAUAAAACUAAUAUAUUUGUGCAGCCAUGAAGGCGUUUGUGGGAUGAGUCAGUGAAAAAUUCAGGGGUUUUUAAGAUGAUUACACUACCUUGGAAAGAUUAGACAGAAAAGUUCACGAGAGCACAACAAGUGCAGACUAAUCAAAUACCAAAAGGAUUUCAAGGUGCUCUAAAGGUGGAUAAAAUAAACAGAGAUUUGAGAGAAGAUUCUCAUUGCCAAUGACAAGAUAACUAUUUAGAAAUUCCUUUGUCAGCUGAGCCAGUUCCAGAUUGGAUUAUUAUUGGGGAGUAGCGGAGGAAUUGAGAUUUGAGUAUAUUUGAUUACAUUUUUUCAAUGUACUCUGCUUUCUAUUAUAUAUAAAAAGAGAAUCAGCAAUUAUGACCACUAAAAGUAAAUUACGCCACUAAAUUGCAACUAGUCUUCAAACAUUCUGGAAAUAUUAUGAUGUUUAACCAUCUUCUCAAUUUUAUUUUCAAACAAAUAGACAUAUUUUCCAGGCAGACAAAUAUGUAUUUUAAGGGUAAUGACACCAACAUACUGAUUUUCUUUUCAGCAACUGUUGACUUUUUGGUUGAAUUUCUACUUUCUGGACAAAUAUAUAUUGUGGUUAUUUCAGUGUCAUGAUUCACAGCUUGAAAAGUCACACUUGAUUGAGAACACAGAUAAAAAAUCUGAAUUGGAUGAUUGAAAAUGCCAUAUUAAAGAUAUCUGAAAAACUGGCAGAUAAAGGGAAAUAUUUGUCCUGUUUUUCUAUAUGAACAGCACCAUUAACCCAAUAGUACCGAAGAAGUGUCCCUUUGUAAAAAUAUCACAGGUAAUACAUUAAAAAUAAAUGUCAAAAUUAGAAUGUUGCUGUUUUGCAAUCCCCAAUGAACUAAUAAAAAAUAGGCCUAAAUAUUGAUGGCUUUGAUAUCACUAAAGGAAAGACAAUUUAACAUUAUGUGCCUACUGAUGAAAGAACACAACGCCAACUAUAUUCUCAGAAAAGAGACUGAACCUCAAUCUGAUCCAGUUGAUGGAUCCAGGUUCCAAUCUGCCAGAUAUGCAGAGAACCAUGAGAAUGCAAAUCAGCAAAAUACAGACUAUGAAAAAUGCUACUGGAAAAGAAAAAAAUGGAGAGAAACAGACUUAAAAGAUAGAACAAAGUUUACAAUGGGGAAAAUUAAAUUAUAAUGUUUGUGAAAGUACAUUCAGGUGAUAAAUCGAUUUAACAAAUAAAACCAAACAAGAAGGGAUUACAAGAAAAGUCAUAACAGGGGCUGCUUUUGGAGGGAGAGGAGGAGAUGUGAUCGAGAUUUGGUCCAUGAAAGAGUUUUCUAGGAUGGGUAACAAAGCUCUUUCUUAACAUGAGCUGCAGGUGCAAGUUUGCAUGUCUUUAACUAAUUCAUUAAGCCAUGUGUAUUUUUUGGGUGUUUUUCUUUGUCUAUUUUACCAUAAUAUGAUUCUAAACUGCAUUUUAUAAAUAUUCAAUGUAAAGAAUAUCUGUAAUCCUCUGAAACAUUAACAAAGUUGCAUGUAAAUGGUCUUACUGGCAAUUAAAUGUAUCGCAAGGCAAACUUAAUUGUAAGAGUACUUGGUGUGAUUUCUUCAACCCCUUUGUCUGUAGGCAAUUUUCCUUUCUACCUUUCCCUGUCAAAGAAACUAGUCGGUUAUAUAUAUUUUUUCAUCCAAAAGACAUAUUGAUUUUACUAGGAGGCUAAAUGAUACCAUUUUGCUUCUCCCUGCCUGUUUCUUCUCUAAGAUUCUAAAUUUCAGAUCUAUCAUUUUUGACAAUUUUUUUUUUGCCUGCCUUGUGAUUUCCCCCUACUAGUCUAAAUGCCCUUUAGGAUUACUUUUUCUGAAUCAGAACAUCGUAAGUGCUGUAUUACAUAUUAUAGAACGAGAUGAGCUUUUAAGAAAGCAGCCAUAUUCUUGUAAGAGAACCAUACACUGAAAAUACAAAGUAAUAAGAAAGUAAGGGGAAGAUUUCUUCUAUGUGCUUAAAGUGACAGAAAAAAAAAGCAUUUCAAAGGUUAUUUGUCUAGCCUACACAUUAAAGUUAUUUAUCAGACUGCAAAAGAAGCCAUAUAGUACAAACUGGAACAAAAUUGGUGUAUUUGUAGAUAUGUUAUGGACUCCUCAUUACACAGGUCCUUUCUGAAUUGGACCCCAGAAUUGGAAUUUAUAAAUAUAAAUCAGUUUCUGUCAUCAUAUAUAUCAAGGCAUGUAAAAAUGAGUUGAAGCCUUCUCUGUGCUAAAUGUAAGGAAAGGAGGCAAAAGGUACAAUUGUGUUUGUCAAUGCCAAAAUCUUAUGGCAUGUCAGACCUUGAGCUCAAUAACAGCCUUAACAAGUGAUACCCCACAAUUAUAGAAUUAACGAACUUUAGAAGAAACAGUUGCUGGGCGCAGUGGCUCGCGCCUAUAAUCCCAGCACUGUGGGAGGCCAAGGUGGGCGGAUCACCUGAAGUCAGGAGUUGGAGACCAGCCUGCCAACAUGGUGAAACCUCAUCUCUACUAAAAAUACAAAAACAUUAUCCUGGCAUGGUGGUGGCACAUGCCUGUAAUCACAGCCACUUGGGAGGCUGAGGAAGGAGAAUUGCUUGAACCCAGGAGGUGGAAGUUGCAGUGAGCCAAGAUGGUGCCAUUGCACUCUAGCCUGGGCAACAAGAGUGAAACUCCAUCUCAAAAAAUAAAAAUAAAAGUAAAUAAAAGAAACAGUUGUAAUUAAAGUAUCGUGUGGAUAUGUGUGUGGAUAUACAAAAUUCUUAUUUAUGAACAGAGAGAAUUGAUAUCCUCGGAGUUCAAGGAAUGGUCAUUUUUCCUGGCUUAGGUAGCCAACUCCACCCACUCUUUAAGAUUUCUUUAAUGUCUUCUCAGCUUAUCAGUAAGGUACGCAUCCAUUGAACUUUUAAAAAUAAAAUUUGUUAAUAAUACUUGGCUGAUUAUUUGAACCUUCUAACUUUUUCAGUUGAAACUUUUCUGAGGCCAUACUGUAUUUUUGUCUAUAGAGAGCUUUUUUUUGGGGGGGGGCACCUAAGAGAUUUGUGGGUCACUUUGGCCGGGAAGCAGACUAAGUCUAAAUGGAGUAUUGUGUGUCAACAAGUCAGUUAAAUGUAAAAAAAAUGAAAGUAUUUAUUGUAGCAGAGUAAGCCACAAUGCGUGUAAUCUGUGAGUAUAUAAUCAAGAAUUGAUUGCAAUUCUCAUUUCAAAUAACAUGUACUCUGUGCUAAUUAUAGACAGAUGUAUAUUUCUGAAUAUUUGUGGGGUUUCUACCUACUGUGAGAGAAGUGGUGGUUAUCAUUUACGGGGUGGGAGCUGCAAAUGCUUUAGGGGUUGAUUAGGCACAUUCUCUGUCCCAGGUUCAUUUUGAUAUCUGCCUUUUGUGGAAACAACAGAACUAAAUUUCCAGGAGUCCACAGUGUUAUAAAAAAGAGCAGUGACAUUGAACUUCCUAAUUUGUAAAUACUCUUUUCUUUGCAGUGUUGGCUAUGUUUGUUUUGGUGAAGAAUGCCUUGUUCCACUCUCAUAGAUUUAACUACCAUUUCUAAGUUAUAAAUUCUCUCAAAAGGCAUUUCACUGUGUACCAGAAUGUUCACAUCUUCUCUCCUUCUAGACCUUGAGACUUGGCAGAGUCUCAAAAUUACCAUAUCAGAUAGGAAAUUCAUUCUCUUUCCUCCAGAUCAGAAAACGCCUUUAAUUUGUAUACAUUAGUAAUCUCUCUAAGAAGUUAUCUCAACCAAAAUAUGUUACUGGUCUCAGGAAGUUGGGAACCAAUGACUUCACAGGUGAGAGGUUUGCGUUAUAUUCAGAGUGGUUUAGUCUAUCAUUAUGCCAUAUGCUCUCCAUCUAGGACUACAACAGAAGUAUUCCCAGAGUCACCUAAGCCAGAAAGCUGGGAGUCACCUAAUCUACAUCUCUGCUCUUACUACCAUCUAUCAAACCAGCUACCCAAAUUGGUCCAUCCUGCCUCCUUGACUUUCUUUCUCUCCAUCCUCUCUGUUCUUGCCUUAUCCUAGGCCCUCAUUAGCUCUAAGAGUGAGGAAAAUCCUCUCUCUAACUAUAGGCUUGUGUUUUUAUGAUCCAAUCUCCAGACCAGCAGUCUCCAAAUUAAAGACUAUUUCAACAGACCAAAGUCCACAUAUUUAAUGAUACUAUACCCCUAAAAAAAAAAAGCUUCACAAACUCAUAUAAUACUGCAUAGGUACUAUCUCCACUUAGUCCUCUUUGAAUCUAUUUGAUACAUAAUCAAAUCUGCUGAGCAAGUGUUGAUGAUUUAUUUUGUAUACAUACUGAACAAUGAAUAGGGGUGGGGUUGGGGGAGAGAGGUGGCAUGCAGUGGUUGAGAGUUUGCUGCCAAAUGAAUGAUGGGAGCAUUCAUAUAUUGAGCUGGCUUAAGAGAAGUAGCCCUGCAUUGUCCCGCUUCCUUUCUGGAAGGUGGCAGUUUGGUGAGAAAGACUUAUAUCAAGAAAGCUACUCUUAUUUGUAGACUCUGGGAUUCUUUUCCUGAUAAGGCUAAUUUCCUGAGUCAAACUAUCAUGGGGCAUUCUAUUAUACAGUUAUAUUAUAAAGUCAGAUUACUUAUCAUCUUUACCAUAAAAAUAUAGUGUUACAGAUUGUUUAUAUGUAAAAUUCUGUAUAAUAAUUCUUAUGCACAGUGAAACUUGAGAACUGCCAAAUUAGACUUAAAGAAUGAAUUAAAAGAAUUAUAAGUGCGGAAUGCUUAUGGGUAUUUAAACCAUUGCUCCCUUAAGAUUACUAUCAUAUUUUUGAAGGUGAAAGUGGGAUGUGUAGUGAAUUUGAAAAUGUCCCUCCUAGCUUGCAUGGCUAACUCCAUUUUAUCUAACAUUUGCAACCAAUUAACUUACUAAAAGGUAAAGAAUUUGGAUUUUGUGUUGUGAAAGAGACAGUCAUAAUGCCGUUUAACUGUUAUUAGGUUAGGAGUGCUGUAUUUUUAUAGGCGCCAAGCAGAAUUGCUGCAACUCCUUUCAUACAAGCCCAUGAAACACAUCCUUGGACAGAAAGAAACAGUUCUCUUGAUAAUACAAAGGACAGGUAGUCACUUCAAACAUUCUUUUUUCUAAAGCCAGUAAUAAUAUUAUACCUACUAACUCAUUAGAUUUUUUGGAACAAAAUUGAGGCAUAAGAAAACAAUAAAGAAUUAAAAUCCACACAUUUUAAAUUUUUUUUGGACUGCUACUUGUAGUAUCCUUCAGUUUAGAUAGAAGGUUAAGAGUUUUAUUAAAAGACUUGUGUCAAACAUGGGACUGAGCUGGGGAUAGCUGUCUCAGAGAAGUGUAAGCCACCAGUGUGAAUUCCACAAUAAACAUAUGAACAGUUUGGUCUAGGUUUUCUACUGUCUUAUAUAUACAAGGGGACUUCAAAAAUUUUGUGGAAAAUGAAAGUAAAAAGGUUAUUUCUCAGCAUAAGCUCUAUCAAGUUCAAAACACUUUUGUAAGUAAUCAUACCAGCCACCCUAGUUCUUUAGUCCAUCCCUAAAGAAAUAGGAAUUGAGCCUUUGAAAUAGGAAUGUAGUCUUUUUCACAUGCACACGUAUGUUUAUUGCAGCAUUAUUCACGAUAGCAAAGACUUGGAACCAACCCAAAUGUCCAACAAUGAUAGACUGGAUUAAGAAAAUGUGGCACAUAUACACCAUGGAAUACUAUGCAGCCAUAAAAAAUGAUGAGUUCAUGUCCUUUGUAGGGACAUGGAUGAAAUUGGAAAUCAUCAUUCUCAGUAAACUAUCGCAAGGACAAAAAACCAAACACUGCAUAUUCUCACUCAUAGGUGGGAAUUGAACAAUGAGAUCACAUGGACACAGGAAGGGGAAUAUCACACUCUGGGGACUGUUGUGGGGUGGAGGGAGGGGGGAGGGAUAGCAUUGGGAGAUAUACCUAAUGGUAGAUGACGAGAUAGUGGGUGCAGCGCACCAGCAUGGCACAUGUAUACAUAUGUAACUAACCUGCGCAAUGUGCACAUGUACCCUAAAACUUUAAUAAUAAAAAAAAUUUUUUUUAAAAAGGAAUGUAGUCUUUUUUAGAUUGUUAACUAAAGAAAAAUGGUGCCCUUUAAAGAAUUUUUAAGAUUAAGAAACAAAAAAGAUGUCAGAAGGAUCUAAGUCAGGACUGUAAGGUAGAUGCCUAAUGAUUUUCCAUCAAAACUCUUACAAAAUUGCCUGUACUUGAUGAAAGGAAUGAGCCAGGAACGUUGUUGUGGUGGAGAAAGACUCCCUGGUAAAGCUUUUCAAGGUGUUUUUCUGUAAAGCUUUGGCUAACUUUCUUAAAACACUCUCAUAAUAAGCAAAUGUUAUUUUUUGGCCCUGCAGAAAGUCAACAAGCAAAAUGGCUUGAGCAUCGCAAAAAAACAUUGGUACGGCCUUUGCUCUUGAUCAGUUCUCUUCACUUUGGCUGGGUCACUUUCAUCUCUCGGUAGCCAUUGCUUUUCUCUUGUUACUCUUCAAAGAAAUGCUUCAGAACUUGAUUCCACUUGUUUAAAAUAUCCAUUGAAAGCUCUGCUCCUAUCUGCAGGUGAUCCAUCUGGUUUCAAUAGUUUUGGCACCCAUUGAGUGGAAACUUUGCUCCACUUUAAUAUUAAUUUCAGUCGGAAUUGCGUAAGCUGAAGUAAUUGAGAUGUCUAUGAUGUUGGCAAUUGUUUUUGCUUUUAAUUGUUGGUCAUCCCCAUUAGGACAUGUACAAGAUGAUUUUUUCCUCACAAAUUGAUGUGGAUGGUCUGCUGCUGCAAGCUUCAUCUUCAUCGCUGUGUCAUCCCUUCUGAAAAUGAAUUAUCCAUUUGUAAACUGCUGAUUUCUUCAGGGCAUUGUUCUCAUAAACUUUUUGUAAAGGAUCAGUGGUUUUACUAUUCUUCCACCUAAGCCUCAUCAUAAAUUUGGUAUUUGUUCUUGUUUUAGUUUUAGCAGAAUUCAUGUUGCUAUGAUAGGGCUUUUUUCAAACUGAGGUCUUAUCCUGAGUGCCUCAAGCUACAUCUGUUCAGAUAUGUUAUAGUAAGUUAGCACGAGUUUAUUUUGUAGCAAAAAAACCCAUGAAAUACACAGAGAUUUCUCGUGAAAUUCACAGUUCAAGUGAAUUUUUCAUGAAUGUUUUCAAGACCCCUCAUAUUUCUAUUUCAUUUUGAAAGUUUUCUUGUAAAGAUUCUGACAUGUUACAUGAUUUUUUUCAUGUAGUUUGAACCAGUCAGGCUACCUCAUAACUAAUACCAACAGAACGGUUAAUGAACUUUGUAAACCUAAAGGAAAACACACUAAAGCUUGUAUUUCUUCUGAGAGACAGCAGUUGCUUCGAUGCCAUAUCUUUUUGUAAAACAGAAUUCAAUUCCUUUUUUGGGUGUUACUAAAGUUACUCCUCAUCCUUAAUCAAGACCACUUAGUUAAAAAAAAAUACAGUGACUCUGAUGACAGAAGGGGGUGAAAAAGUCAAAUAGCAAAUUUAGUUGAAUACAUUAAAGUUUCUAAUCAAAUUUGAUCCCUGUGAAGGAAAAAAGAACAACUCUUUAUAAAUGUCCUUAAUGUGUUUAUUCUCGAGCUAUUUUUGUGUCUUAGGGAAUUGUUUUAUUUUCUAUUGUGCUUAUUAUUGAACAUUUAUAUAUGGAUUUAAGAAAAAUCCUAAAACACAUCAUUGGUAAAAAUAAAGUGAGCUAGACUGACAGUACAAUAUCUGAAUGUGAGCUAAAAUAUUGAGAAUUUCAGGUUAAUGUCACCAAUGUCUCCAAACCAGUGAGUCACAUGAAGGAGCCCUGCUAAGAGUGCUCUCAGGGUCAUUAGAGAAUUGUGGCACGCUUGCUCUCUGACAGACCCUUUCUCUUCUGGUUCUCUUUUUCUCGGAGAUCUAUUUUAUAAAACUUUCCUGAGUCCCUCAGGCAUAUUAGGCAUUUUUCGUCUUUUAUCUAAAUUGCAGCAUACAAGUUUUCCCUAUGUUCACAUGUUUCCCAUGGUGCGCUUGGUUCUUACUCUGUUGUAAAAUUUAUUCCAUUUCACCAUGUCUUUUACCUGCCUCUGUCUCUCCUAUUCAACUCUGAAUUCCACAAGAGGAUGAUUCUCAUCCAUAUCUCUUACAGUAUCUGUCAUACAUCAUACUGCAUGUGCAUUUGAGCAUGUUCAAUGAAAGGGUGACCUUUGAAAUUUUUUAAAAGUCUCCAUCUGAAUUUUUACCUCAGUUUAACUGAAAUAUAUGUGGCUACGCAGUUUGUGUAGUUAAGUAACAUUAUGUACAAUCUUUAGUUCUGAUAGCCUUGAGCUCUUGCUACCAUGAGUCAUGACUGAAAAAAAGUAGGGUUUUAACUAAUUUGGACAUAAGUUAUGCAGAGAGAUUUUGGCAUAAUUUAUUUCUUCCUUGAUAGCUUCAAUGUAUUUAUUGGUAUCAGGCAUUGUGCUGGACAUGGAGAUGACCAAUGCAUCAAGUAACAUACUGUCCAUACAGCAUAUCAGUUAAGAGCAAGAACUCAAAAGUAAAAUAGCUUUGAUUUGACUAGCCUCUUUGGCAUGAGCAUAUUACUUUAUUGUGUUUCAUUUUAUUUAUUUUUAGGAGACAGGGUCUUGCUCUGUCACUCAGGCUGGAGUUCAGUGGCAUUUUCAUAGCCCACUGUAGGAUCAAACUCCUGGGCUCAAGUGAUCCUCCCGCCUCCUCCUGAGUCACUGGGACUACAGAUGUACUCCACCAUGCCCAGCUAAUUUUUGUUUGUUUGUUUUCUGUAGAGAUGGAGUCUCCGUAUGUUGCCCAGGUUAAUCUCCAACUCUUUGCCAUGAGCAAUCUUCCUGCCUCAGCCUCCCAAGGUUCUGGGAUUACAGGCAUGAGCCACUGGGACCAGACUAUUUUGUUUUAUUAUAUUAUUUCCUCAUUGUAGAAAUAUAGGGAAAUAUAGGAAUCAUUUAUAAGUCUAUACUGCAAAUAAAAUGUAACUAUUCAUAUUUUAGAGUAUGCCCAUCUUUUUUCAACAAUAAGUACAUAUCGAUUCCAAAAUUGGGACAUGUGUAUACUUUUGUAUAUUGAUAUUUUUCUUACUAGACAUCCCUAUACUACUCCUUCAUAUUAUUAUAUUGACUUAAAAUAUUUUGAUAGUUAUCUCUUUUCUUAUCACUGGAAGUCCAGAUUAUUUUAAUUUUUUGUUUUUAUAGUGCUAUAAAAAAUGCUUGCCUAUUUUUACCUUGCCAUGUUUGUGAUUAAUUAUUUAGAAUGGAUUACUGGGUGACAAACUUUUGCCACAGGACUUGAACAUAAGAGAAAAAGAAUCUAUCAAGGUUACUGAAAUCUCCCAUUAGUCUAAAACAUUUCGAGUCUUUCUUCAUGAAGGAUCAUAACAAGUGAAAAUAAUAAUUGUUUUAUCAUGUUUAUCAUUGUUUGUUGCAUCUGAUAACUUUGCCUAGGAAAUCUAAUAUUCAAACUAUUAAAGAAUAUGGUGAGCAGGGCCCACCAUAUUCUACCUUCAAAUUUUAUGAUGAAUCCUCUAGUUUUUCAUCAAUCAAUAUAAUACUAACUACUUGUUCCAAAAGAUUAUAUUUGUUAGGUUAGAGAAUUUUAACUUAUUUAUAUAAUGGAGAUUUUCUAAUACUGAGAAUACCUUAAUUCUUAUUGUAAGCCUACUUAACAGUGACAAAAUGUUAUUAUAACGUGGUAUUGAAAUUAAUAUGAUAGUAUUUUAUAUGGAUAUUUGCAUAUGCAAUUGACAUAUAUUGUAUAUACAAUAUAUAACUGUAUUAUAUAUUAUAUUUAUAUAAUGUUAUAUCGUAUAUGAAUAUAUUUGAAUUAUAUGUAUAUACAUAUAUGUAGGCAUUCAUCAGAAAUAUUGCAGGUUUGGUUUCAGACGACUAUAAUAAAGUGAAUAUUGCAAUAAAGCGAAUCACAAGAAAUUAUUGUUUUUUUCAAUGCAUAUCAAAACAAUGUUUACAAUAUACUACAGCCUAAGUGUGCAAUAGCAUUAUGUGUAGAAAUGCACAUACCAUAAUUAGUUUUUUUUUUGAAAAAACUGUUAAUGAUUAUCUGAGCCUUCAGUGAGUUGUAAUCUUUUCAUGGUGGAGGAUCAUACCUCGACGUUGAUGUCAGCUGACUGAUCAGAGUAGUAGUUGCUGAAGGCUUGGGUGGGUGUGGCAAUUUCUUAAAAUAGGAUAACAAUGCCAUUUACCACAUUAAUUGACUCCUUCUUUCACAAAAGAUUUCUCUGUCUCAUGCAAUGCUGUUUGACAGCAUUUUCCCCACAGUAGAAUUUCUUUAAAAAUUGGAGUCAAUCCCCUCAAACCUGCCUCUGCUUUGCCAACUAAGUUUACGUAAUAUUCUAAAUUCUCUGUUGUCAUUUCAACAAUAUGCACAGCAUUUUCACCAUGAAUAGACCACUCUCUUUGCUCAUCCAUAAGAGACAACUUCUCAUGCAUUAAAUGUGUAUCAUGAGGUUGCAGCAAUUCAGUCACAUCUUCAGGCUUCACUUCUAACUCUAGUUUUCUUGGUAUUUCUGCUGCAUCUGCAGUUAUUUCCUCCACUGCAGUCUUGAAAUCAGCUUCUUCCAAACUCCUGUCCAUGUUGAUAUUUUUACCUCCUCCCAUGAAUCACAAAUGUCCUUAAUGACAUCUAGAAAGGUGAAUUCUUUUCAGGAGGGUUUCAGUUUACUUUGCCCAGAUCCAUUAAAGGAAUCAUUAUUUAUGGCAACUAUAGCCUUAUGAAACAUAUUAUUAAAUAAUAAGGUCUGAAAGUAAAAUUAUUCCUUGACCUAUGUCUGCAGAAUGGAUGUUGUGUUAGCAGGUGUGAAAACAACGUUAAUAUCCUUGUACAUCUUUGUUAGAGUUCUUGGAUGACCAAGAGCAUUAUCAAUAAGCUGUAAUAUUGAAGGGUGUCUUUUUUGCUGAGCAGAAUGUCUCAAGAGUGGGGUUAAAAUAUUCAGUAAAUUAUGCUGUAAACAGAUAUACCAUCAUCCAGGCUUUGUUGAUCCAUUUACAGGGCACGGGAAGAGAAUAUUUGCAUACUUUUUAAGGGCCCUAGGGUCUUUGAAAUGGUCAGUGAGCACUGAAUUCAACUUAAAGUCACCAGCUGCAUUAGCCCCUACAAAGAAAUGCCUGGGGCCUGGCUGGGACUGCCCCUGCAGGACACUGGAACCAUGCCACAGAGGGGACAGUGAACAAAACCAAUCCAAAGCCAAGCUAGGACUGGCCAUGGACCCAGCCUCCUGGGCUGCGUACUCACGGAGCUGCAUAGUCUCCUUAGAAACAGUCAAAGCUUUGCCAAGAAAAGAAAUGUAUAAACCAUAUUUGACAACAUACAGUCUACAUAUUUUUUUUUACCACGGGAGAAAAUAAAGCUGAAGCUUUGAAGCCAGACGUUGACUUUUCUCUAUCUAUGAAAGUACUAGAUGGAAUCUUCUUCCAAUACGAGGCUGUUUUAUCUCCAUUGAAAAGCUGUUGUUUAGUGUGAACAUCUUCAUCAUUUUCUUAGCUAGAAUUGCUAGAUAACUUACAGCAGCUUCUACAUCAGCACUUGCUGCUUCACCUUGCGUUUUUAUGUUAUGGAGAUGGCUUCUUUCCUUCAACCUCAUGAGCUAAUUUCUGCUGGCUUCCCAUUUUUUUUUUUUUUUUUUUCUGUAGCUUCCUCAUCUCUUUCAGCUUUUAUAGAAUUGAAGAGAGGGCCUUGCUCUGGAUGAGGCUUUGGCUUAAGGAAAUGUUGUGGCUUGUUUGAUUUUCUAUCCAGACCAAUAAAACUUUCUCCAUAUUAGCAAUAAGACUGCUUGUCUUUCUUAACAUUCAUUUGUUCACUGGAGUAGCACUUUACAUUUUCUUCAAGAACUUUUCCUUUGUAGUCACAACUCGAUUAGCUGUUUGGUGAGAGUAGCCUAGCUUUUAGCCUCCCUUGGCUGUUGAUUGCCUGCCUUACUGAGCUUAAUCAUUUUUAGCUUUUGAUUUAAAGUGGGAGACAUGCAUCUCUUCCUUUCCCUUGAACACAUAGAGACCAUUAUAGGGUUAUUAAUGGGCCUAAUUUCAAUAUUGUUGUAUCUCAGAGAAUAGGAAGGCUGGAGGAGGAGAGAGAAUGGGAAACAACCAGAAGCUAGCAGAAAUUAGCUCAUGAGGUUGAAGGAAAGAAGCCAUCUCCAUAACAUAAAAAUGGAAGGUGAAGCAGCAAGUUUUCAGUGGAAUAGUUAGAACACAAUUCAUUCAUCAAGUUUGCUGUCUUAUAGGGAGUGGUUUGGGGCAUUCCCAAACCAUUACAAUAGUAACAUCAAUGAUCACUGAUUGCAGAUCACCACAACAGAUACAAUAAUAAUAAACAUGUUUGAAAUACUGUAAGAAUUCCCAAAAUGUGGCAAGAGACACAAAAUAAGCACAUACUAUUGAAAAAAAAUAGAGCCAAUAGACUUGUUGGACACAAUGUUACCACAACCUUCAAUGUGUGAAAAGCACAAUAUCUGCAAAGAGCAAUAAAAUUAUGGACAAUAAAAUGAGACAUACCUGUGCAUAUUUUUGGUUUGGUUUUGGUAUCCUUUUUAUAUUUUUAAUAUGAAUUGUGAAUUUUUUAAAGAGUCCCAAUACAUGGGACAGGGAUAAUCCCAUUACAGUUUGAAAGGCCAGUUUCUUGAAUUGUAGGCUUUAAUAUGUUCAUUUUGCUGCCAUGUUCAGCUCAUGUUCAGAUCAUUUUCUUAUUCUCAGGCCAGUUCUUUCAUCCUCAUCAUCAUCUAAUUUACGGUUCUUUGAUUUAGCCAUUGUAUUCUAAUUUCACAGCCUUUUUCUAUUUUCUUUCCCAUUUCUCUACAACGAAUUACCUCAACCUCUAAAUAAAUCCUCAUUUAGCCUAACUAUCCAGCUACCUAACUCCGAAAUUCAGGCAGUUGAGAUUCAAUGAUAGCCCCGUUCAGCUAUAAUUUCCAGUUAAAUUUCAGAUGGAUCCUCAAGGCUAAAUCACAUAUAAAAAAAAAUCCCAGCAUAAUAUACAUGAGAAUACACUAGAGCAUAAAUUCAAGGAUGACAUUCAUUUUUGACUCUUGUUUUAAGGAAAUCUUGUUUGAAUAAAUAAAUACAAUUCCUCAACCUCGACUGCCUUAGCUGACUUCCCUCUAUCAAAUUCUUCUGAUUUCUCAUUUGAAGCUUUAAGUUGGCCUGACAUGUGCACUUAUUAAGUCCUAAAUCUCACUGGUCAUUGUGCCCCUUCACAAAUUACACUUGAGUUUUUGUUUGUUUGUUUGUUUGUUUUUAAGACAGAGUCUCACUCCAUGGCCCAGGCUGGAGUGCAGUGGCGCGAUCUUGGCUCACUGGUCUGCCUCCCAGGUUCAAGUGAUUCUCCCACCUCAGCCUCUCAAGUAGCUUGGAUUACAGAAAGAAACCUAGGGAGAAAGAAAUGCAAGUUAGAGUGAGGUAAGUUCACUGUUCCUGGAUAAGAAAUUAUUACAAUGGCAUUUAGAGUAAACCUAUGUCAUUUCAAUGUCAAACCCUUAAACUGGUAUACAUGAUACCUCUACCCUUAUUUCAAAUAAGAGUACAUAAUCUCUUUUACCUACCACAUAUUGAACUUCAAAAGUCAUAUUCUUAGAGGUGACGAUAUUGUUGAAAGAAUGUUUUUUAUCCUAUAUUUUAGUCUGUUUAUUUUUCCUCUGUCUAAUCCAUUUUCUCUUUUGUCAAUUAUGCCUGACUUUUUCUUCAUUUAUUCUCUUUUCUAUUAAUCUCUAGUUUCAUUGGAUUGUCAUUGUCAAUUCUUCUUAGGUAUCAGUAUUUUCUCUCUGUAUUCCAAAUGAUAGAAAAUGGAGUUUGGGGGCUACAACUUUGUUUAUUCCAUUUAGGUCUCAUCAUCCCUUACAAAUCCACAUAUCCUCAUAAAAUGGACCUGCAUUCCUUUAUUUUUGCAGUACCUUGAGAGGUUAAUUAUACUAAACAACACCCUUCAAGAUUAACACAAGCAUCUUAACUAAAAACAUAGUAGUAUUAUCAUUAUAAUCUUAAUGUUGUCUUCUUGUCUUGUAAAAUAUGAUUAUGAUAAAUAAAAUAUAAGUGUAAUGCAAUGUAAAAAUUGUGGAAUCCUUAAGUGAUCAGAAGAAUAAUAACCUGCCUUAAUGGAAAUUGUGAAUAUUGAUUGCCUGUCUAGUAUUGCUAAGCACUGAGAUAUACAAAUGUGUAUAAAUUUGUGUCUUUGUUUUCAAGGAGUUUAUAUAGAUUAUUUAUUUUCAUUGAUUUCCUAACUUUUAAAAGGUGCACUUAAUGAUUCCCUGUAGUACUAUCUAAAAUUAAGGUGCAUAAUCCAUUCUCUUUAAAACUUGAACAGUUCCUGAGAAGGUAGCAUGUGAUCGACUAUACGAUGUAUGCUGCUAGAAGAAAUUCAAAAAACAUAAAUUUUCUUUUUAGAAGAUACCUUAGAAAGUAUCUUCAAGAUUCUGCUGUUCCUCUGGUUCAUUUCUUCUUCCCACUUUAUCAAUGAGACAACUGCGGCUCACAGUAAAUACACAGGUUGCUUACCAUCAGCCAACUGGAUAAUCGAAGAAGUGUCUUAAAUCUGCCUGGAGUGCCCUUUCAAACACAAGCUAUGAAAAUUGGCAGAUGAAUUUCCAGCACCCACUGACAACAAUAACGGAGGCACAACAUUUUGUAUAUAACUGUGAUAUGAAGGGUAGCAUGCGUGGGGCUUUAAGCAACAGGAAGAACUUCUAUGUCUUUGCCGUAUGAGAAUCUAUCAAUAAGGUCAUCCUAGUUCCUUGCCUAAUGAAAGGCCCUUGAUCAUGUACUUCAAUAGGAGAAAAAUAAACCUUCCUCUCAAAAUAUGAAAGCUUUUUAUCAAGGUAUAGAAAAUAUACAAUACAGGAAAUAAUGUAUCUCUCUACCACUGAAUCUGACUUUAUUGCAUUACAGGUGGUCAUAAUCAUUGAUAAUAAUAAAUAAUCAUUGAUAAUAAAUCA